AUCGCUGGGAGUAGAGAGCGUGACUUGAGUGUAUAGAUCUAUACGGGGCUGACUACCCCACACCUGGCUGCUAGCUACAGCCGAACCGAAAUGGUUCAAGCGUGACGAAAGUCGUAAGGUGAUGUGGACUUAUUAUUGCCACAGUUAGUCUAUCGUAUGGUUAUGGAACUAUAUGCACAAGCAAUUCGAUUUGCAAUCGUAGCUCUCAAAGACGUUGUCAAACUCUGAUCUAAUCAAUCUUGUCCUUUAGAUAAGGGAUCGUACAGUCCUCUGUUAGAUAUCAUACUGACAAUCCUAUGGAACGGUUAGUCAAGCAUUUAGGUUUCUCGAUCUCUGAUUUAUUCGACAUAGAACUUAAUCGAACACAUCAACUCAGUUCUGACCGGGCCCGGCACAUAAGUCAAAUCAAAUCAUCGAGCGGCCGAGAUAUCACUUUUACCUUGUUAGAUAAAAGUUACAGAUAAACUUCGACUUGUAUGCAUUUACUUAUUCAUUAAUCAACUAUACACAACAAUGAGUUUUAUAACACCGAGUUACUGAUGUGUUUUCGCAUUAUUAAUGUACAAUCAAUUAACAAAUAACAAACCAUAUAUCUAGGUUUUAAGACUAUAUGAUAUUAUCGUCUUGCGAUCAUCCUUUUAUAUCAUAUUCCAUAAGGUGAUUCCAGCAAGCGCGGGUUUGUUCCAAUGCUCAAAACUAGUUCAUAAGCACUCAUGAACGUUGCAGCAACCCUUUGCUAUGUCUAAAACCAUUUAGACAAUCUACACACCAAUUCAUGACAAUCUUCAUUCAUAUCUACUUCCAACAUAUGAACGAUUGUGGACAAUUUGAACAAUUCGAUUAUUCCUAAUAAACUCAAUUAUUCUGGAAGUCAAAACAUGCAAAGUGAAACAAUAGUUAAACAAUUAACAUAAGACAAUAACAUUACUCAUAAAUAAAACUCCUUUAUUUAAUCAUCAAAUGUUAAUUACAUUUAUCUAUUACACGUUUCUAAUACUAUCUAAUCUAUGCUAAUAUCAUCCUUCAGCCCAAUACUCCUAGCAUGCUGCAAGUGCUUAACCCUACUCAGUCCCUUCGUAAGCGGAUCUGCUGGGUUAUCUUCUGAUGAUAUCCUCUUCACUACGAGUUGUCCUUCUUCUACACGAUGUCUAAUGAAGUGAUAUUUUCUGUCGAUAUGUCUUGAUCUACCAUGAUCCCUCGGUUCCUUGGUCAAGGCAACCGCUCCUUCGUUAUCACAGAAAAUCUCCAUGGGCUCCUUUAUGGCAGGUACGACUCCAAGAUCACCGAUGAAGUUCUUUAGCCAUAUUGCCUCCUUCGACGCUUCGCUCGCUGCAAUGUACUCUGAUUCGCACGUUGAAUCAGCUACGGUUUCCUGCUUGGAACUCUUCCAUGUCACUGCUCCUCCAUUUAGGGUAAAGACCCAGCCCGACUGCGAACGGUAGUUGUCCCUGUCGGUCUGAAAACUGGCGUCACUAUACCCUCGCACCUUCAAGUCAUCACUCCCUCCGAGGACUAAGAACCAUUCCUUCGUCCUCCGAAGGUACUUAAGGAUAUUCUUCACCGCAAUCCAAUGUGCUCUGCCAGGAUUCCCUUGAUAUCUGCUAACCAUGCUCAAAGCGAAGGCUACAUCAGGGCGAGUACAAGUCAUAGCGUACAUGAUUGAGCCAACUGCGGAAGCGUAUGGUACUCGGCUCAUUUCUGCUAUCUCAGCUUCGGUACUCGGACUUUGAGUCUUACUCAAUUUGGCAUUACUUUGUAUCGGUAGUUCUCCCUUCUUUGAGUUUUCCAUACUAAAACGUUUUAGUACCUUCUCUAAGUAAGUAUUCUGACUAAGUCCAAUUAGUCUCUUACUUCUUUCUCUUACUAUCCUUAUUCCCAAAAUGUAAGAAGCCUCUCCGAGGUCCUUCAUAGCGAAGCACUUCCCGAGCCAGGACUUAACCUCCUGCAGAGUCGGGAUGUCGUUUCCUAUGAGUAAUAUGUCAUCGACAUAUAGAACGAGGAAGCUUACUAUACUCCCACUGGCUUUGACAUAUACACAAGAUUCGUCUUCGCUUCGUACAAAUCCAAACUCUUUGACUUUCUCAUCGAAGCAAAGAUUCCAUCUGCGAGACGCUUGCUUAAGUCCAUAAAUGGACUUCUCAAGCUUACACACUCUAUUCGGAUGCUUCGGAUCCACAAACCCCUCUGGCUGAGCCAUGUAAACAUCCUCAGCCAACUUUCCGUUAAGGAAAGCGGUCUUGACAUCCAUUUGCCAAAUCUCAUAAUCAUGAAAUGCGGCAAUUGCUAGCAUCACUCUAAUAGAUUUAAUCUUCGCAACUGGUGAGAAGGUCUCAUCAUAGUCAACUCCGGGAGUUUGAGUAAAGCCCUUCGCAACCAAUCGCGCUUUAUAUGUGUGUACGUUUCCAUCCACGUCGGUCUUCUUCUUGAAGAUCCAUUUGCACCCAACGGUCUUACGUCCGGGCACAUAAUCAACCAAAUUCCAAACUUGGUUAUCAUACAUGGAUUGGAUCUCGCUAUCCAUUGCCUCUUUCCAUUUUGCAGACUCCGGGCCUGCCAUGGCUUCCUUAUAGCUAUUAGGUUCAUCAAGAUUUAUUAGUGUACCAUCACUAAUAUACGUGUCCCCUUCGGUAGUAAUAUGAAAACCAUAAAACUGGGGUUGAACUCUAACUCUAUCGGAACGUCUAAGAGGUAAGGAUUCGUCAAUCGGUUCAACCGGAGUUUCCUCCUCGGGUUGAGUGCCAGCGGUAGAGGUUCCUUCAUCUAUCGACUCUUGAAUCUCUUCAAGCUCGAUUUGCCUCCCACUGUCUCCUUGGCUUAUGAGUUCUCGCUCUCGGAAAACUCCUCUCCUCGCAACGAAGACAACAUUGUCCUUCGGUCUAUAGAAGAGAUAUCCAAAGGAUGUCUGCGGGUAGCCGAUGAAAAUACAUCGCUCACUUCGAGGUUCAAGCUUGUCGUGAGUAUCUCGUCUUACGAAAGCCUCGCAACCCCAAACCUUGAUAUGUGCCAACGAGGGAGCUUUCCCUGUCCACAUCUCGUGAGGUGUUUUGGCAACCUUCUUAGUAGGGACUCGGUUAAGGAUAUGGGCGGCAGUCUCUAAGGCAUACCCCCAAAAAGAGAUAGGUAGUGAAGCACGACUCAUCAUAGAGCGAACCAUAUCCAAUAAGGUUCGAUUACGCCUUUCUGCCACACCAUUCAACUGCGGUGUCCUAGGAGGCGUCAAUUGCGAAACUAUUCCACACUCCUUGAGAUAAUCGUGGAAUUCAAGACUUAGGUACUCUCCUCCUCGAUCGGAUCGAAGCAUCUUGAUUUUCCUGCCCAAUUGAUUCUCCACUUCAUUCUUGAACUCUUUGAACUUUUCAAAGGUGUCUGACUUUUGCUUGAUUAAGUAGAUAUACCCAUAUCUACUAUAGUCAUCGGUAAAAGUCACAUAGAAGCGGUUCCCAUCCUUCGUGGUUGAUCUAAACGGUCCACAUACAUCGGUAUGUAUUAGGUCCAAUAGACCCUCGCCCCUUUCACAUGUACUCGUGAAGGGUGACUUAGUCAUCUUUCCAAGCAAACAAGACUCGCAUGUGUCAUCUUCCCUAAGGUCGAAUGACUCCAACACUCCAUCCUUUUGGAGUUGGGCUAUGCGUUUCUUGUUGACAUGUCCAAGACGACAAUGCCACAAGGAUGCUUUAUCCAUACUAGUGGAAGAAUCAAUAUUCAAAACAUCAUUUCCUAAGUUAUCAACAAUCAUAACGGUUUCAUAUAUUCCAUUACAUGGUAUAGCUUCAAAGUAAAAGACACCAUUUAGAUAAGCCAAAAUAGAACCAUUCUCAUUAUUAAAAGAAAAUCUAAAUCCUUGUCUAUAUAAACCAUGAAAUGAAAUGAUGUUUCUUGCCAUUUCUGGCGAAUAGCAACAAUUGUUCAAAUCUAAAACUAAACUAUUCCUAAGCACUAAGGAAUACACUCCAAUCUUGGUCACAGGCGACGAUCUUCUGUUCCCCAUGAUUAGAUUGAUCCUUCCUUGCUCCACAUCCCUACUUCUUCUUAGUCCCUGCACAUUAGAACAAAUGUGAUAACCACAACCGGUAUCAAGAACCCAAGAAAUAGCAUGAUUAGAAUCGUUAGAUUUGAUUGUAUAUAUACCUGCGAAAGAUGGCUUGAUCUUUCCUUCUUUGAUUGCUUGCAGGUAAUCCGGGCAGCUUCUCUUCCAAUGUCCUAUCUUGUGGCAGUGGUGGCACUCUGCCUCCUUCGGGUUAGAGCAGGGCUUGGCGGGAUCAACUUUGGUCCCACUAGAAGAGGCACCAUCUCGGGCUUUCACCUUGCGAUAGUUCUUCGAUGAAGCUUUCCUCUUCUUUCCCUUCCCUUGUCCAAUAGCCAAGACAGGAGCAGCGGGCGGAUUGGGAGUAGGUGCAACAGACUUGUCUUUGAAGUUGCUCUCAGCAACCCUCAAGAGACCUUGGAGCUUGCUUAGGGUGACCUCUUCUUUGUUCAUGUGGUAGGUCAUCCUAAAUUGGUUGUACAUCGGAGGCAAAGAGUGAAGCACCAUGUCGAUCGCCAAGUCUUCACCGAAGUCAACAUUUAACUUGCGGAGGCGGUCAACAUACCUUUGCAUCUUUUGCAAGUGCACGGUAAGAGAUUCUCCAUGACCCAUCUUCGCGGAAAUCAUGUUAGUGAAAAUCUCGUACCUCUCUUGUCUCGCGUUUUGGUGGUACCUCUCCAAUAAGUCUUGAUGCAUCUCGUACGGGUACAUGUCCUCGUAGGACUUUUGGAAUUCGGAGUUCAUGGUGGCGAUCAUGAUGCAAUGUACCUUCGUUGCAUCUCGCUCAUGAGUUUCAAAGGCGGUGAUUUCGGCGGGAGUAGCAAUUUCGGGGUUGAUUUUCUCGAGCUUCUCAUCGAGGACAUACUCCUUAUCCUCAUAGCGAGCAAUGGUGCGAAUGUAUCUUAUCCAUUCGCUAAAGUUCGUUCCAUCGAAGGUGACCUUUUGGCAAAGGCUCAUCAACGUGAAAGAACUAGCAGCAGCGUUGUUUGCGUUCGACAUCUACAAUUAGAAAAGGACAAAGAUAGAUUAGAAUAAGAAUCCCUAAUUAUCACCCAAUAAGAAAAUUAGGGCUAGGAUCCAACAAUAACAUUUACAUACUAGAAAAGGGAUGCCGUAAUCUAACAUGCAAAUAAAUUGAAGGUAAGUGAAUGACGAUUCACUAAUUCUCCAUCACAAAACUUAAACUAUUAGUCCUAAGUGUUUUUGAGAAUUCCUAGGUUCGGAUGAGAUUCAUUGAAACUAUUCAAUGGCAUGUUUAAAUCUCGAUAUGCCCCUCUUGUUUGUGACUGGGAUGCCGAGGAUCACAAAGCGGGUGUGAAUUACCAUGCAAAUUCACAUGGUGCCUUCAUUGUAACAAUCACCUAUUCGAUGUGCCGGUAAACCACACACGCUCCAUCGAACUAUGAUAAACAAUGAAUCACCCUUUGCCACCUUCGCUUAGAACCAAUUAGUGUGCCGGUAAACCACACACGCUCCACUAACAUCUUAGCAAGGUGCAAAGUGUAAUUUCAUGGGAUUGCAUCAAUUCACUUUUCCUAAAGUAACUAGGAUUGGGAAAUUUUAAAAAAAUGUGUAGUUACUUUAUAUUUCUUAUUAUACUUUUAAUGAGAGGAUGAGGUUGCCCUAUCCUACCCGUUCGGCUAACGACCCUCCACCAAUCAAGCAAGCGGUGGGUGUGAGUGUACACCCAUUAAGCGCCAUUUUAUAGGCCGCAACCUUAUACCCACCUUAUAGAUCGGCUUCGUGAAUGAGGCCUACUAACGGUAAGACUAGCAUUUAGUUAUACAUAUAUAUAUUAUUCUAGUAAUAUCAUAUUAGUAUAGGGUUGUAUUUUAAAACUUUUAAAAUCUAGGGUUUGAAAUUUAAGUUGUCUAAAUUAAAACUUUUAAUCACAAAUAUAAAUUUCAAAACUUGAGGGCAAGUUUUAAACAUUUAAAACAUAGAGGAUCAAAUAACAAAUAAUUCCAAUUAACAAUUAAUAUCCUAAUUAUCUAUAUUUGAUUUUAUUCAAGAUUUCUUUGAAAGAUAAUUACCAAAAUAAUUAAAAUAAUUAAUUAAUUAUCAUAUAAGGAAAUUAAAUAUUUUAUUAGUUGAUAAAUACCUUUAACUAGAUCAAGAUAAUAGUCAUAUAUAUCAAAAAAUUGGAUUUAGGUCGAUCUAUUAUGAUUAAGGUAAGUUUCCAUAAGAUAAUUACGAAAAAAUCCCGAAUCUGGCCAUUCCUGACGCCUGGACUCGCCGAAUGCACAAAGGGACUCGCCGAGUCAGGCCUACUCGCCGAAACCACUUUAGAACUCGCCGAGUCCAUGACUCAGAAACCAAAAAAUCAAAUUUUGCAGGUUUGUUUUAGUUAAUCAAGCAACAAUUUAAAGAAACCCAAGCAAGGCUCUGAUACCACUGAUGCGAUUUAGCCAUAAGAACUUUCCUAUGUGCGCAUGCAAAACCCUAAUGCUUGGAUCUAGGCUUUCUAAUUAAACAUGCUUUGAAUCCAAGACUUCUAAUGGCUAAUUAGGUUAAAUAACAACAUUGAAACAGAUCUAGAACCAUACCUUUGAAUUCCUUGUUGAUCUUGUGGUCUUGGAGCUUCUAGAGUCACAAAUGUCACUCCUCUAAUGGCUUACAAACAUCAAUAGCAAGGAAGAUGAUUUAGGAGAGAGGAGAGGGGAGGAAAUCGGCCAGGGUUCUCUUACUUUAGAUGAGGUUUCGAUUUCCCUUGGCCAUGGGGUCUAUUUAUACUUGUAGAUUCCAUAAGGGUUACAACCUAAACCCUAAUUGUAUAAUCUUCUCUUAAGGAUAUCCAAAUCCAUUCCUUAGAUAAGUCAUUGGACGAUUUUGAAGCUAUCCAAGCUUCUAGAAUCCGUCCACUAUAUAUCUAUAAGGAUUUAUAGUCUAAAGCUUAACUAUCAAACAAUUGACAGUUUAUACCCCUUUAUUUAAUUAAUCUCUUUAAGUCACCAAAUUAAUUCCAAUUAAUUCUAUGACUUAUAUUAAUCAAAUAACAAUAUAUUAUUCUUUAUAUUAUUCUCAUAAUAUAUUAAUAAUAUUUANAAAUGGGUUUAUAAACUGUUAUGUUUUAUAUAUUUCACAAAUGGUUUUCCACAUUUUAUCAGUUAAAAGCAUGACAUUAGAACAUAUGAACAUAAAACUUGUACACUGUCUUGUCCUCGGUAACACUCCACAGAGAUACGCGAGUGGAGGAUUAUCAUAUUAUUACUAGUAAAUUUGUUAUUCCUGUAUGAUUGGAGACACGUCCUCGGCGAACACUCCACAGAGAUACGCGAGUGGAGGACUACACCCGUAACCAAAAUCUCUGGGAUUAGAGAGCGUGACUUGAGUGUAUAGAUCUAUACGGGGCUGACUACCCCACACCUGGCUGCUAGCUACAGCCGAACCGAAAUGGUUCAAGGGUGACAAAAGUCAUAAGGUGGUGUGGACUUCUUAUUGCCACAGUUAGUCUAUCGUAUGGUUAUGGAACUCACAAUUAGGAUAACAGAGAUUUAAUCAAUAGUAAUAAUGAAUAACUUAACACACUUCACAAGAUAACCAGGUUUCGGUAUACAUCUUUUACAUUGGAAACCAACAUUCAGGAAAGUAUGGGACUUUCCUGGGAAACCAUGUACAUAACCAGGUCUAACAGAAUACAUCUUUCACAUUGGAAACCAACAUUCAGGAAAGUAUGGGACUUUCCUGGGAAACCUUAUACAUAACUAGGUCUAACAGAAUACAUCUUUCACAUUGGAAACCAACAUUCAGGAAAGCAUGGGGCUUUCCUGGGAAACAUUUACAUAACAAGAAAAGUGUAACAAACCGGAUAACCUUACAUCUUUCACAAUUGGUAAUACAUAAUCAGGAAAGUAUGGGACUUUCCUGGGAGUUCAUUGGUACAUAACCAGAAUAGUAUAACAAACCAGAUAACCUAACAUUACAUUUUCACAUGGCUAAAAGUGUUUUUCAGUGUACAACUUUUCUUUACAUAUUGUGAAACAAUAACCAACCUUUUUAAGAAAAUAUGGGAUUUUCUUGGUGUGUGUAACAUUUUCAGAAACGAAAAGGAAACAUAAACAUUUUCACAAAACAAAAACCGCUUAUGAACUCACCAGCGUUAUGCUGAUUUUCAAUCUGCUUGUGUUCUCAGGUCAGCGUUAGAAUAGGUACCCGAAGAUCACUUGUUCCAGGAUGGAGUGCGUAGAAGACCCGUUCGUUUUCUUAUCAUAUACUAUGUAUCGCAACUGUAUAACUAUACUUUUGAAACAAUUGUAAAACUUUUCUUAAUGUAAUGUAAUGGUUGUUUUACUUUACUUACUAUGUGCAUUGGACUUGAUACUCAACGUGGAGUCAACCCCGAAAAUGUUUCCGCCUUCGGUUUUCAGGGUGUGACACAAAUAAUCCAUAAAGAGAAGCAACAUAUAAGCACCUAGUUCAUUCACGAAAUUGCAUGAAAGAAGAGAGGGUAGUAAGGCAUCAUAACUAUGAAUUGGAAGCCCUUUGAGAGGGGUUUCGAGAAAAAGAACAACCAUAUUAUAUACAACCCAAAGCUCUCUUUAUAUACAUACUAAUGUUUACUGGAGUCAAGGCUACUAACUUAAAUGUUGUGGUCUUUUUAUGACAUGUAUGGACUGUAAGAUGAAAUAUAACAAGAAAACUCUUACUUGCUUGUUCACACUUAUGGUUUUGACAUCAAAGUCAAAAAUAAGUUUGUCUUCAUUUUGAUUAUUUCAACUAGUUAGUUAAAAAUGAAAACUAGAUAUAUAUAUAUAUAUANNNNNNNNNNNNNNNNNNNNNNNNNNNNNNNNNNNNNNNNNNNNNNNNNNNNNNNNNNNNNNNNNNNNNNNNNNNNNNNNNNNNNNNNNNNNNNNNNNNNNNNNNNNNNNNNNNNNNNNNNNNNNNNNNNNNNNNNNNNNNNNNNNNNNNNNNUUAUACCUUAUGAAUAUAAUUAGUGUGGUUCUCUUUUGUUAUUAUUUCCUAGUAACAAUAAUUCAUAAUAUCUUGUUAAUAUAUUGUCUUCAUCAAAUAAUAAAUUUGUAGCAUCCAUGACUUGAGGUAAUGAUAAUUUUUUUAAUCCUGUAACUUAUUUGUUCAACUAUGAGAAUUAAUAUUGGAUCAUGAGUUGUUCCUUUAUUGAGUUGGGUUGGAUGAAGCCGUACAUUGGGUGUAUGCUUGGCGUACGUGGAGCGUAGCAGGAGCAUUGGAUGCGGGGGAGUGAUGCGCGUACGCGCAUCGUACCAAGGGGUACGCACAGUGUACGUGAUCUGACUCAAAAACCUAAUUUUUAGGGUUUAGGCCAUAUAUAUGUCAUUAUGUCGUAUACCCAGCCUCCUUAACUUAGAAACCCUAGAAACCUAUCCUUCUUCAUAUUUGUGUGAUCUUGAUCAUGUGAAGUCCAUUUUAGUAACUUGGAGCUUGGAAGGAGAAAUAGGAAGUUGGUGAAGAAGAAUUUGUGUAGCUUGAGCUUAAGGAUCUGAGACAUCAUCAUCAUUUAGCACUCAUUUGAGGUAAAAAGCUCAAAACUUGCCUCAUGAAUGCUUAGAUCUCAUAUGUUGGUUUUUUGGACCUUUUUGGUUCCAAUAAUGGAGCUUUAUGGUUCCAAAUCCGUUACUAGGCUUAUGGUUGCCACCCUUAGUGCUAUUUGAGUCCCAAAUACAGAAAAGUUAUCAUGUUGAUGGUCUUGAUGUGGUCAUGCAUGAGUAUUAGUCAUUUCCAUGGAAGUAGAUUGUCAUAUUUCAAGUUUGGGUCCAUUUGGAGGUUUGCAAGCCACCAAGUAUUCAACUUUCUAGGUUAAGACACUUUAUUACACUCAGAUCCGUGUUUGGAGCUUUAGGUCUGAAAGGGUUAAGCUCUUUUUGAGAUUAUGGCUUAACAGGGUAGUACGUUGAACGUACAAGCCAUGCAGCUUGUACGCUUAGCAUACAUAGGAGUACGCCCCGUGUACUCACUGGAUUUGGGCUUUAUGUCAUUUGGGCCUCGGUGUGGGCCAUUCCUUGGACUUUUAUAUUUUGGGCGUUAGUGGGCCAUCUAGAAUUGAACCUUUGGACUAGAGAAGCAUUAUUGCGCCUUACAUUGAGGUCCAUGUGAAGAAAUUGGGGCCAAUUGGAAAUUGGGCCAUAUAUUGAGCCUUGUAUGAGUAUUUAUCUUUUUGAGCCAAUAGUUAAGUAGAGUUCAUUUUGGGACAAGAGUAUGUGAGGGGCAAAAUGGUCUUUUAUCCCAGUGAGGAGUAUGGUUAGGUUAUGAGAAUCACAAAUUUAACUAGUUUAUAUGAUGAUUAGUAGCUCGGGGAGUCGACGGGUCAGCAGUUCGGGGAUCUGCUAGCUAUGAUCCAGAGAAUUAUCCGUGAGAUUCAGUUUUUCGAGGUGAGUUUCCUCUUGUAUGAAUGGGUGGAAGGCACCAAUGUCGGCUCACAUAUUUAUGUUAGUAUGUUCUGCACUAUGGUCUGAUGUCGGACGGUGCCCAAUUGUAACGCCCGCGUUUCCAGGCUAGGCAUUAUCUUUGAUGUAAUAGUCUAGGUUAACCUCUGUAACCCGUUUUGAAAUAAUAGAAGUAUAUUAUUUGAGUAUUAUGUGUUUUGUGCUUAAUUUCUUAAUUAUGUGGUUUGAUUAAUUAAGAAUAAAAAUAAGUGUCAAAAUUUAAGUGUAAAAUAAACUUGAUAUCUUUGGAUAAUGUUGUAGUAGUUGAAACGAGCUUUCCGAAUAUAUAAAGAACGCCCAAAUCUGACUUCAUAUGAGGAAGUUACGAUUUUCUGAAGUUUCGACUUAGCGGUAUGCGGCCUGAAAUACUCGAUUUGAGAUCGAGCGGUUUUUAGCCGAAACAAUCUAAACGAGAAUGAAAGAUCUUGUUGUUGGUAUCGAAGCGAUAAAAAGUUAGGCGAGAACGGACGUCAAACGAAGAAGUUAUGAAUUUAUAACGAAGUUUUUCUGUACCGGCCUAUUAAAAAUAAAUAAUAAAAAUAAAUUUAAAAUUAGCCGACGGAGUCUAAACGAAAGUUGUAGAGCGUAGUCUCACCUUCGCGUGGAUAUAAAGAACGUCGAAAACGGAGUUCGUAUGAAGAAGAUAUGAAUUUUCGAAGUUUAUUAAAUAAUUAAUAAUUAAAUUUAAUUAUUAAAUCCGACAUUAUCCGAAGAGGAGUCAUCGGACUCAUCCGAAGUACGCCCAGCGUACUAGCGUACGCCCCGCGUACAGCGAAGCAUGACACGCCUCGCACUCGAGUUCUUCGGAUACGUAAGCAAUGACGAUUCUGAGGCAGUACGCCCCGCGUANNNNNNNNNNNNNNNNNNNNNNNNNNNNNNNNNNNNNNNNNNNNNNNNNNNNNNNNNNNNNNNNNNNNNNNNNNNNNNNNNNNNNNNNNNNNNNNNNNNNNNNNNNNNNNNNNNNNNNNNNNNNNNNNNNNNNNNNNNNNNCCCGGUAUUAUACUCAAGCCCCGAGGCAAGUCCCGAGAUCCCGAAGAUCCCGAGAAGUGCGGUUCUCGAGCCGAAGCUCUGCCCGCGAAAAGUUCGAUUUUCGUAGAGAUCUUCCAGAUCUACGAAGGAUUACUACUUCUUCAAGUCGUAGUGUUGUCCGAUCAUCUUCUGAUCAAGUGAGUGUAUACUACCUUUCAUAAACAUGAUAAUAAUACAAGUAUGGUUUGAGUGUAUUAAGUAUAUUGUUGUUUAUGUGUAUAAUUUUGUUGUUAUAAGUGUGAAUGUAUAUUCAUUCUCUUCUAUCUCAUAGAUCUGAUUUACUUUCUAUGAAAUACGUGUUAUGUGGGUGUGCCUCAUCUGUUAUGUGGAAUAUGUAUUGAAUGAAAAUGAUAUACAGGUUUUAAACUAUGUAUGAAAAUAUAUAUUUUUAUCUACUAAUAUGUUGGGUAGAACAUGGGUAGAUAGUUGGUGUGUAAUAAACAGAUGAGAGGCCUCGAUGUUGUUGUUGUUGUUGAUCUAGUUAUUCAGCGGAGUAUGGAUAACGACCACAGACUCUUUCUAGACAGUCCAGUGGAACGCUAGCAGGUUCAUAACCUGUAGGUGUUGUGAACGAUGUGUUCACCGGUGUACUCUAUCCCCCUCAUGGUUGCCUUUAGGAUAUCUAUUGUUGAGGAAACCCCUUAGCAGUGAUGUCCGUCCCGAUGAAAAUCCUAGAUUAGGUCCCUUGAGAUAGAUGUUAUUUUAGGGACGUAAAGUGAGGAUAACGGGAAUGGGUAAUCGGGAUAGUGAUUGGUUGGUGAAAUUAAAUAUAAUUUAUUUAUUGUGGGUUGAAAACCCUAUAUGCUCACCAGGCUCCCAAGCCUGACCCACUCAGUUUUAUUUGUAUUACAGGAAGUGGCGCAAGGGCGUAAGAUGGAUGGAUCAUCGAGUUGUUUUGUUUACAAGUCUGUAUAUGUAUAUAUUUGUUGAAUGACUUGUAAUGUUAUCGUUUAUGCUUUAUGGUCUGUAUCGGAACAUGACAUCCCGAGUUUUGAUUAUAUAAUGAAAAUGCAUCUCUUGAUGAAAUGCUUUGAUAAAUAUUAUUUUAUCAUGUUUUGUUUUGGGAACAAAUUCCGCAACUCUUUUAAAUCAAAAGGAUUUACUCUGAAAUUAUUUAAAAGCAUAAAUGAAAAUCGGUCUUUUCUGGCCGAGAUUUUGGGGAUGUCACAGUUGGUAUCAGAGCAUUAGUUUAAGCGAACUAGGAAUUUGUAGGAUUUCUAGACUUAAACUUAGAAUGCUAAGUGGAAUUUUGAGAUGUGUGUCUGUUGGAUUUUAGACACGAGCACUAGUUUAUUUUAGGAAAGUUGCCUAAAAUGCUUUUAUGUGCUAAAUGUUAUAUGUUGCCAUAUAUGAUAUUAUUUGUUCGGAUCUACGGUCUGUUGCCGACCGGAUCUGGAAACCUUAUGUGUGUAGGAUUCUAAGCGUAUGUCUACGUUAUUAGAACUAGCAUGUAAACGUUUCGGAGUAAUAAGGAUGAUUUGAAUAUCUAUCGUGAAUGAGGAUCUAAUUUCACCUUAUUCGGUGUGUAGAUCAAAAUGGUGAGAACAAGGAGUGGCGUUGGAAACGCGGAUGAAAACAGGAAUCAACCGCCAGUGAUUGAGCAGAUACCUGUUGUAGCAGCAGCACCAGAACCAAUAACAAUGGCUGCGGUGCAAGCCAUGAUUCGGGCUAUGCUAGCCGAACAAAGGGAGGAGAUGCGACAAAUGUUGCAUAAUAAUAGGGAUGAACCUGUCAUACCUAUUGAGGAACCUGAAUUGAUUCCCGAGCAAUCGGAGGAAGGGAACAAUAGUCGCAUGGUGAGUCAAGUUGGGACUCAAGAGGAACGAAGGAACGAUCCAGAAAGGAGAAACAACAAGGAUGGGCGUAUGUACAAGAAUUUCUUGGGCGCCAAACCGCCAAGUCUUUCUGGGAGCCCAAAGCCUGUUGAGAUAAUGGAUUGGAUCUCCGAAAUGGAGAUGGUAUUUGAAAGUUGCGACUGUAGCAACAAACAGAAGACCGUCUUUGCGGUUAGACAACUGAAGACUGGAGUCUUGAGUUGGUGGAAGUUGUUGGCAGAUACUAUGCCACGAGGAGAAGCCCUGAAAAUGUCAUGGGAGGAGUUCUUGGAACAGCUAAGGGUGCAGUAUUGUUCAGAGAUAGAUCUGAUUGAUCUGAACAAUGAGUUCCAAAACUUGAAGAAGGGGAAGAUGAGCAUAGAUGACUAUGCUACUGCAUUUACUGAGAAGAUGAAGUUGUUUCCGUACCUAGUGCCAACGGAACUCUCCAAGAUUGAGAGGUUUGCUAACGGACUGCCUGCUGACUUUGGUCCGACAGUCAAAAUGGCAACCACUCUGAAAACGGCUGUUCGUGCAGCUAAGAAUGUGGAGGCCCAGCAGAAGGAAAAGGGUCUGGAAAGAAUAGAUGUUGGAGAAAAGAGGAAGUUCGAUGGAACUUCAGGGUCCAACAAGAAAAACAAGUUCUCGAAGUCUGGUUCGAGGGGAGGUGGAGGUGAAGCGAAAUGGUGCGACAAAUGUAAGAAGAAGCAUCAUGGAAGAUGUGAGGUGGCGAACACAUGCUACAAGUGUGGAAAGCCAGGGCACUAUGCCAAUGAGUGUACCCUCACAAAGAAAGUUUGCUAUGGUUGUGGUGAGGAGGGUCAUAUGUCGAGGGACUGCCCGAAGAAGAAGGAGGCAGCUAGACCCAACAUUCCGCCAAAGCCAAAGGCGAGAGCAUUCCAGAUGACACUGGAAGCUGCUAAAGAUGAAGCUGAUGUCGCUUCAGGUACCUUUCUCGUUAACGAAUUGCCUGCCCAAAUUUUAUUUGAUUCUGGAGCCAACUACUCCUUUAUAUCGCAUGAAUUUGGUAGAAAGCUAGCUUUGCCUGUUGUUAGACUAGAUAAUGCUUUAUUAGUCGAAGUUGCUAGUGGCAAGUUUGUACCUGUUAGCUAUCGCAUGAAAAACAUCUUAAUUGAUCUGAAUGGGAAUAAGUUCCACGAGGAAUUAUUGCCUAUCGAACUUAAUGGUUUCGACAUCGUAUUGGGAAUGGAUUGGCUUAGCGCCAACGACGCCGAAAUUUUAUGCAAGAAGAAAAUAGUCAAAGUAAACCCGCCUGGGAAAGAUUCGUUUAUGGUGUAUGGAGAUAAACGCAGAGUGAAUUCUGGAAUCAUUUCAUUGAUGAAAGCCAGAAAAUGUUUGACCAAGGGGUGUACAUCGUAUUUAGCAUUCGUGAUUGAUGCUAAGAAGGAAAAGAAGGUGAUGCAGAAUAUUCCAGUGGUGUGUGAUUAUCCGGAAGUAUUUCCCGAAGAUCUUCCUGGAUUACCGCCUGAUCGACAAGUGGAAUUCCGUAUUGACUUGUUGCCAGGAACAACGCCAAUUGCGAAAGCACCUUAUCGAUUAGCACCGACGGAGAUGAAGGAGCUAAUGAUGCAACUUCAGGAGUUAUUGGACAACGGUUUCAUUAGACCUAGUUCAUCGCCCUGGGGAGCUCCGGUGUUAUUUGUAAAGAAGAAAGAUGGAAGUAUGAGAAUGUGCAUCGAUUACAGAGAGCUGAACAAGGCAACAAUAAAGAAUAGAUAUCCGUUGCCGAGGAUUGAUGACCUGUUUGAUCAAUUGCAAGGUUCGAGCUAUUUCUCGAAGAUCGAUCUUAGGUCAGGAUAUCAUCAGCUAAAAGUAAGAGAGCAAGAUAUCGAGAAGACUGCAUUCAGAACUAGAUAUGGACACUACGAGUUCUUGGUUAUGUCGUUUGGACUAACCAAUGCUCCAGCAGCGUUCAUGGAUUUGAUGAAUAGGGUUUGUAACCCGUUCCUUGAUAAAUCCGUGAUAGUGUUCAUAGACGACAUUCUGAUUUACUCGAAAAGCCAGGAGGAGCAUGGCAGACACUUGCGAGAAGUGUUAGAAGUUUUGAAGAAGGAGAAGCUGUAUGCUAAGUUCUCCAAAUGUGAUUUUUGGAUUCGUGAAGUCCAAUUCUUGGGUCACGUGGUCAACCAAGAAGGGAUAAUGGUUGAUCCAGCGAAGAUCGAAGCUGUGACGAAGUGGGAACAACCGAAAAGUCCCACGGAGAUUCGAAGCUUUUUAGGAUUAGCCGGAUAUUACCGAAGGUUUAUCCAAGGCUUUUCUUCGAUCGCUAGUCCAUUGUCAGCUUUGACCCACAAAGGAGCUACUUAUGCUUGGGGUGAGAAGCAUAAGGAAGCAUUUGAGAAGCUAAAGGAGAAGCUAUGCGAGGCACCGAUACUUUCUCUACCCGAUGGAGUUGAAGACUUCGCUGUCUAUAGCGAUGCGUCUGGUGUUGGAUUGGGUUGUGUUUUGACCCAAAGAGAAAAGGUGAUAGCAUAUGCGUCUCGACAGCUGAAAGAGCAUGAAAAGAAUUACCCGACUCAUGAUUUGGAGUUGGCAGCGGUAGUUUUCGCUCUGAAAAUAUGGAGGCAUUACCUCUAUGGCACGAAGUGCAAACUUUUCACUGAUCAUAAGAGUCUCCAAUAUCUCUUUAAUCAAAAAGAAUUGAAUAUGAGGCAACGACGCUGGCUAGAAUUACUUAAAGACUAUGACUGUGAGAUACUUUACCACCCCGGUAAAGCUAAUGUUGUUGCUGAUGUUCUCAGACGGAAAGUCAAUCUUGAAAGGAAAAGGCCAAGAGCGUUGAGAAUUGAAGUUGUCUCAACAAUUGUGGAAAGUAUAAAGAAAGUUCAAAGCGAAGCUUCUGAAAAAAAAAUGACCGAAAGGAGGAACGUUUGGGCAAAACGUUGGUGUUCGGUGUAAACAGUCAUGGACUGAAGGUGUUCCAAGAUCAGAUUUGGAUACCUAAGACAGGAGGAGUCAGAGAUCUUCUGAUGGAAGAAGCUCACAAAACCAUGUACUCAAUUCAUCCCGGUGGCACUAAGGUGUAUAGGGACCUAAAACCCUACUACUAGUGGCGGACGAUGAAGCUUGAUGUUGCAAAGUAUGUGGCUGAGUGUGUGACUUGUGCGAGAGUAAAGACACAACAUUAGAAACCGUUCGGGAGUUUAGAACCUUUGCUUGUGCCUAUGGGUAAGUGGGAAUACAUUGCUAUGGAUUUUGUCAAUAAACUGCCUAGAACAAUGAAUUGUCACGACAUGAUUUGGGUGGUCGUUGAUCGAUUCACUAAGAGUGCGCAUUUCAUAGCGGCCAAGGAGAAAUGGUCUAUGGAGAAGCUUGCGAAUUCUUACGUGAAGGAAAUUGUGAGGCUUCACGGUGUUCCGUUAACGAUUGUGUCGGAUCGUGAUAGCCGUUUCACAUCGAGGUUUUGGAAAAGUCUACAAGAGGAAUUGGGUACCAAGUUGUGUUUAAGUACAGCUUACCAUCCGCAGACUGAUGGUCAGAGCGAACGAACGAUACAAACGCUUGAAGAUAUGCUGAGAGCAUGUACUUUGGAAUUCCUAGGUAAUUGGGAUGAACAUUUACCGUUGGUAGAAUUUUCCUAUAAUAAUAGUUUCCACUCGAGCAUUAAGAUGGCACCUUACCAAGCUUUGUAUGGACAGAAGUGUCGUACGCCGUCUUGUUGGCUUGAGGCUGGGGAAAAGCAGUUUAUGGGACCGGAGUUGGUUCAUCAAACUGCUGAAAAGUUGAAAAUAAUUAGGGAAAGAAUGUUAGCGGCUCAGGAUCGUCAAAAGAGCUAUGCUGACAAGAAGCGGAGACCGAUAACUUUUGAGGUUGGGGAUUCGGUUUUGCUUAAAGUCUCGCCGUGGAAGGGACUUAUAAGAUUUGGUAAAAGGGGAAAGUUGAGUCCAAGGUUUAUUGGACCGUUUAAAGUUCUUCAGAGGAUUGGGAACCAAGCUUACAAGCUCGAAUUACCCGAAGAACUGAAUGGAAUUCACAACACUUUUCAUGUGUGUUAUUUGAGGAAGUUCACGGGAGAAGUUCCCGAUAUAAUUCCAAUUUCUGAAUUGAGAAUUGAUGAGAACAAAAGGUUGAUUGAAGAACCAGAGGCAAUUGUUGACCGAAAGACUAAGAAGUUGCGACGCAAGUUGGUCGAGUUAGUGCUUCUCCGAUGGAGACACACGAAUAGGCCGAAUCUCACAUGGGAGACGGAGAGUGACAUGAUGGGUCGCUAUCUGCAUUUGUUUGUUGAUGUGUGAUUCCGGGGACGGAAUCAUUCUAAGGUGGAGAGAAUUGUAACGCCUGUGUUUCCGGGCUUGCCAUUUUUAGCAAUGUAAUAGUCUAGGUUAACCUUUGUAACCCGUUUUGAAAUAAUAAGAUUGUAUUAUUUGAGUAUUAUGUGUUUUGUGCUUAAUUGCUUAAUUAUGUGGUUUGAUUAAUUAAGAAUAAAAAUAAGCGUCAAAAAUUAAGUGUAAAAUAAACUUGAUAUCUUUGGUUAUUGUUGUAGUAGUUGAAACGAGGUUUCCGAAUAUAUAAAGAACGCCCAAAUCUGACUUCAUAUGAGGAAGUUACGAUUUUCUGAAGUUUCAACUUAGCGGUAUGCGGCCUGAAAUACUCGAUUUCAGAUCGAGCGGUUUUUAGCCGAAGAAAUCUAAACGAGGAUCGAAGGUCUCGUUGUUGGUAUCGAAGCGAUAAAAAGUUAGGCGAGAACGGACGUCAAACGAAGAAGUUAUGAAUUUAUAACGAAGUUUUUCUGUCGCGGCCUAUUAAAAAUAAAUAAUAAAAAUAAAGUCAAAAUUAGCCGACGGAGUCUAAACGAAAGUUGUAGAGCGUAGUCUCACCUACGCGUGGAUAUAAAGAACGUCGAAAACGGAGUUCGUAUGAAGAAGAUAUGAAUUUUCAAAGUUUAUUAAAUAAUUAAUAAUGAAAUAUAAUUCUUAAAUCCGGCAUUAUCCCAAGAGGAGUCAUCGGACUCAUCCGAAGUACGCCCAGCGUACUAGCGUACGCCCCGCGUACAGCGAAGCAUGACACGCCUCGCACUCGAGUUCUUCGGAUACGUAAGCAAUGACGAUUCUGAGGCAGUACGCCCCGCGUAACGCAGUACGCCCCACGUACUCUGAGGCUCCAGCCUCCUAUAAAUAGGAUGUGAGGGCAGCCAACUCAAUUGCUAUUUUUGUCUCUUCCCUCUCCCGUUUUGCAUAGAUUUGGAUGCCAGAAAUACCCCGAAGCCCCGGUAUUAUUUUCGAGCCCCGAAGCAAGUCCCGAGAUCCCGAAGAUCCCGAGAAGUGCGGUUCCCGAGCCGAAGCUCUGCCCGCGAGAAGUUCGAUUUUUGUAGAGAUCUUCCAGAUCUGCUGAGGAUUACUACUUCUGCAAGUCGUAGUGCUGUCCGAUCAUCUUCUGAUCAAGUGAGUGUAUACUACCUUUCAUAAACACGAUAAUAAUACAAGUAUGGUUUGAGUGUAUUAAGUAUAUUGUUGUUUAUGUGUAUAAUUUUGUUGUUAUAAGUGUGAAUGUAUAUUCAUUCUCUUCUAUCUCAUAGAUCUGAUUUACUUUCUAUGAAAUACGUGUUAUGUGGGUGUGCCUCAUCUGUUAUGUGGAAUAUGUAUUGAAUGAAAAUGAUAUACAGGUUUUAAACUAUGUAUGAACAUAUAUAUUUUUAUCUACUAAUAUGUUGGGUAGAACAUGGGUAGAUAGUUGGUGUGUAAUAAACAGAUGAGAGGCCUCGAUGUUGUUGUUAUUUUUGAUAUAGUUAUUCAGCGGAGUAUUGAUAACGACCACAGACUCUUACUAGACAGUCCUGUGGAAUGCUAACAGGUUCAUAACCUGUAGGUGUUGUGAACGAUGUGUUCACCGGUGUACUCUAUCCCCCUCAUGGUUGCCUUUAGGAUAUCUAUUGUUGAGGAAACCCCUUAGCAGUAAUGUCCGUCCCAAUGAAAAUCCUAGAUUAGGUCCCUUGAGAUAGAUGUUAUUUUAGGGACGUAAAGUGAGGAUAACGGGAAUGGGUAAUCGGGAUAGUGAUUGGUUGGUGAAAUUAAAUAUAAUUUAUUUAUUGUGGGUUGAAAACCCUAUAUGCUCACCAGGCUCCCAAGUCUGACCCACUCAGUUUUAUUUGUAUUACAGGGAGUGGCGCAAGGGCGUAAGAUGGAUGAAUCAUCGAGUUGUUUUGUUUACAAGUCUGUAUAUGUAUAUAUUUGUUGAAUGACUUGUAAUGUUAUCGUUUAUGCUUUAUGGUCUGUAUCGGAACAUGACAUCCCGAGUUUUGAUUAUAUAAUGAAAAUGCAUCUCUUGAUGAAAUGCUUUGAUAAAUAUUAUUUUAUCAUGUUUUGUUUUGGGAAGAAAUUCCGCAACACUUUUAAAUCAAAAGGAUUUACUCUGAAAUUAUUUUAAAAAGCAUAAAUGAAACCGCUCUUUUCUGGCCGUGAUUUUGGGGAUGUCACACCAAUGUAUGCUUAUAGGAUUUCCGGAUUACGGUCCGAUGUCGGGCAAUGCCCGAGAAAUGUUUGUAUGCUUCAUAUCUUCGUGAUUCUUGCAUGUGUCUAUAUUUGUAUGUUUCCGGAUUACGGUCCGAUGUCGGGAAUGCCCGAGGAAUGCUUAUAUGCUUCCGGAUAUCGGUGCAAUGUGGGGCGGGUCCCAAGGAAUGUUUAUAUGUUUAUGUUAUGUGAUUAUUUUAUGUGUAUUUGUUGAUAUGUUUAUAUGUAUAUCGAGCUUUUUCUGAUGCUGGGUGGGGCUCGAUGCCGGAUAUUUUCUAAUGUCGGGCGGGGCCGAUGUCGGGCGAGGCCCGAUGAAGGGGCGGGGAGCACGAAAUGUUUAUAUGCGAUUAUGUGAUUAUGUGUAUUGUAUGUGCUAGUUUGGGGAGACUCACUAAGCUUACUGCUUACAGUUUUUAGUUUUGGUUUCAGGUACUUCUGGUAGCAAAGGGAAGAGCUCGGGAUGAUUGCAUUGACACACCAUGAUGUUCUUAGCCUGGGAUAUUUACUCGAAUAUAUUUGAUAGAUGUUUUGAUAUGGAUAUACCGUUUACGAUGUUUUGAGAUACUAUGACUUAUUUUUUGAUGAGAUGAUUUUGAUAACUAUGGUUUUAUUUAAUAAUAAAAAAAGAAAUUUUUGGUCAUGAUUUUUGGGAUGUUUUAAAAUUAGUAGUAACUUGCUAUAAGAUAUGACCCUAUAAGAUCAUAUGUUAGUAGCAAGUGUCAUUCCAUAAUGAAUCUUGGGCCUAAAGAUCUUUCAAUCUCUGCACAAAUUAUAGAUUGAUAUAAUAAGUGGUGAAUGUCUAGCAACAUUUCACUACCCCCAAUAACACAUAACAAAUAAUUCCAUUCAUAAAGAUGCAAUUACUAAAAGCUCAAUGCUACAAUUGAUAUAUACGGUAAUUUCACCAGUUAUCAUUUUGUUACAAACAUCGUGUUGAACGUGAGACUUGGGUUGCAAUCAAGCUCAUUGGGUGUUCAACUUUGGGUAAAUCAUGUUAGAUGUCUACCUCUUAACACAUAAGAGAAACAAAUCCCAUCUUGCUACACAAGCUUCUUGCAAAGUUCACACCACAUAUGAUAAUGGCUUUUAUAACGGCAUGGUUAAGGAUCAUCGUUUAACCACAUCAAAGCAUAACACUCCUACACUUAAGUUACACUAUGUAUCUAUGGUAUUAAGGAUACAAAUAUAAUAGCUAUUAUAAAGUAUAACUCACGAAAUCAAUGCAUGAGGUGAUCUUGAUAUGGAUCUGUCCAAUACCAAUUCUCUAACAAGUAGCUAUGAAUCUUGGUUACUAUCACUUGUUUGAUUUCAUCUAUUAACAGUCAACCACUCCAAGUAAUAUUAGUCUUAAUUCAUCAUUAUUCCCACAAGUAUUCCUAACUAUGAAAUUUUAGAAUACCUAAAUUAAUCAUAGAUUAAACAUGUGGAUAUAGAACACAACAAGUAUUAAUGUGAAGAUCAUAUCCUAAUAUAUCUAAACAAUAUAAUAGUUGUUGUCAAAAUCUUCAAAUAUCCAAAUACUAAAUCCUAGUCAAAUCCCAUUUUAGAAUAACAAAGUCGUAUAAUUUAAGUGUGCACAUUCAUAGUUUUCUUAAAAGAAAGACUUUAUUAGUGGAUCUGACUAAAUUUAAUUUGUGUGAAUUAUGUGAAUACCGCCAUCUCUAUAUUUAAACUUUACUCUAAGUGCAGCUAAAUAUCCUGGAAUAUAUGAUUGAUGUUUUGUUGUGAUUUAGUGUCUCUUAACUUCAUUAAGUAUACUCUUGAAGUUGUAAAAGAUUUCUUGGUUAUCACUGAAUGGAAGGACUCAACUUAGUUUUUUAAUGAAAUCGUUAAUCUAAUCAUAUUUGAGUUCAACUUCUAAAGUAGCAGUGCAUUCUUAUUUUGAAGUACACUGUGCAAUUAUGUUUUGUUUGGAACUUAUUCAAAUAAAACUUACUUAUCAUUCCCUAAUGAAGUCAUAAACAAAAUAUAUUCACAAUUAUAUGUAUCUCUUUUGAGGUUAGCAUCUUGUGUAGCCCUUUACAUAAAGAUCUUCUUCUAAACUGAUUUUGUCANNNNNNNNNNNNNNNNNNNNNNNNNNNNNNNNNNNNNNNNNNNNNAUAUAUAUAUAUAUUCUCUUGGUUGUUCUUAAAUACUCUCAUAAUGUCCUUCUAGUCAUCUAGUGACUUACCCAUGUAUCCUAUUGGUAUCUUAUGAUAUGUUCAUGAUAUAAUCUUAUAACUAGUCUUGUGGAUAAUAUGACAUAAAUGAUGGAUUUAUAUUUCCAAGCAAAUAGAAUAUAAAUAAUAUAAUCUAGCUAAAACCUAUGUGUUAGGGUUUUUUGAGGCUAGCUCAAAAUGGUAAGAUGUGGAAAUUCCAUGAAUCAUCUAAAGGAUUCUUGUAUCUUGAUCUCUUUGAAGAUAUUGUCAACUUAUGCAUAUAAAUAUAUAAUUUUUAAUAUUUAUCUUUAUGUAUCUCUAUUACUUUUACAUUCCAAGAAUGUAUAUUGUCUUUCCAAAGCCUUCCAUCUUAUAAAUUCUUUUUGAGUCAAGGAAAAAGAUAUUUGCAUAGUCAGAAUGUCAUUUCACAUGAUUAACUAUGUCUUAUUCAUACACAAUUAGUAAUGUCACUGUGGUCCCACUAGUUCUUAGUAAACACAUAUGUUAUCUUUAUUUUGAUAUAAAAGCAUAGUAUGUGUUUUUAUGUUACAAUGAUGAUUCCAACCUCAAGAUGUUUGCUUUUUAUAUAUCACUGGAUCUUAUGGCUUACACAUUUUAUUAGGAUAACUUGGAUUAAGAAAACCUCCAGGCUAAACUAUAUAAACAUCUUUAAGUAGGUGUCUAUUAAGAAAAGCGGUUUUCUUGAAAUCUAUUAGUGUAACAACCCGAAGUUGUUCAUCGCCGAAAACCCAUCCUACCCGUAUAACUCGUCGGAAAUCGAAAUGUCCCGAUAUCGUUUUUGGGUUUAGUUAGUAAAAUUUAUAUGUUUAUUUUAACUCAAUGAGUGUCCAAUCCAUUUAGGAACUCAUGAAUUUAGCCCAAAACAUUUAUUUCUUAAGUUUUAGAAAUAUCCUCGUCGGGUGACGGAAACUCAAUCGAGUGCGACCUAAAGCAUCGUUUAAGGCCGGUAUCGGGUAGAAUUAAACCGUGUCCAAGUUUUAGGAACUAUAUAAACAUGUUUAAGCACUCAUUUGAAGCUUUUUCCUUCUCUCUCUACUCUCUCUCUAACCCCUCUCCUAAAUCCAAAGAUUAGGUGUCCAAAACUCAAAUUUAAGGCUUCAAAUCUCUAAGGUACACUCCUUAGCAUGUAUUGUAACCUCCUUAGCCUUCGAAUUCAUGUUCAAAAUAUGAUUUAUGACCAUAUUCAUGAGUUUACGGCCAUGGAGCAUACAUUGGCCGUAAACUCAUANACUUUAGAUAUGGCUAAGGGACUUCAAGAUAUGGACUUAGAACAUUUAAAACUUUGAUUUUGAGUCAUUUGAAGGAGUUUACGGCCAAGGCAUAAGCUUGGGCCGUAAACUCAUGUAAAUGGGGUUUUUCAUGCCCUUAAACCCUUCCAAAUCACUACUAUGGCUUAGAUAUGAAUUAUAGGACAUUGGUUUUAGCAUUUGGACACUUGAAACAUGACUUUUGAGGGACUUAUAUGAGUUUACGGCCAAGGUGUGUGCUUGGGCCGUAAACUCCCCAAAACAUGGCAUAAAUUCAAUUCUAAGGUGUUAGAAAGCCAUCCAACACCACCAAAAGCCUUGGAAUAAAUCAAAGGACCAACCAAAAAUAGUUUAAGGGCCUUAAACACAUCAUUUGUGGGAUUUCUAAGAGUUUACGGCCAAGGCUUGUUCUUGGGCCGUAAACUCCAUGAUUCAUGGUGUUAGAAUGCUAACUAAACACCCCUAAAGCCUUUAGAUGAAUUUUAGAAGCCCUUCUAUGCAAGUUUUAGACCUUGAAACACCUUGUAGCACCAUAUAGUAGAGUUUACGGCCAUGAGAGGGGUCUCAUGGGCCGUAAACUCCAUAAAUCCCUCAUAUGUCCCAUACAAACUCAUGUUAGGCCUUGAAAUAAUUCUAUUAAUCACAUGUGAUUUGUUCUAGCUCCAUUUAACACCAUUUUCUUGGAAAAAUAGGAGUUUACGGCCAUGGAGCCAUGCUAGGCCGUAAACUCCCAUAAGUGGGUCUAUUUUAUGUUUUCAAACCAUUCCAAGUCCUUAAACCAAGUCUAGAAAUUAUCCCCUAAGUGUUUGAAGUCAUUUAGCACCUUAAACCACCCCCACCAUGAGUUUACGGCCGUAAACUCAUGGGGAAUGGGUGUUUUAGACCAAAAACUCUUCUAUUAGUUUACUCAUGGGGAGUAAACUCAAGUCCCAAGUCCCUAGUGUCAUUUCACGUCCUUAAACGCCACCCGGGUCCCUCCAAACACUUGUAUCGGAGUGUUUUCGCGACUUGAAGCAAGUGUCCCUAACAAAUAGCUAAUCUAAGUCCUAAUUAGAUACAAAUGUGUAUCUUUAAAUUAUACUUAGGAACCUCGCGCAUUUACAAGCCCCGGACUAAAGUUUAGCAUCCGAAAUCGUCACGUUUCUCGUCCGGUGAGUUCAUACCCCUACCCUUUUUCACUGUUUUUAACUGUUUUCAGGGGGGAAUACAAGCAAAAGUACAAGUGUUUCGUGUACUUAAACUGAAUUACAAUUUAAUGAUUUUAGUUUCUAAAUGUCAUGAUUUCCAAAGAUUAUGAUAACUGAUGUUUCGAAUUGCAGGUUAAUUGUAGAUUUCUUUCGAAAAGUGUUUUGAUCUACAUUAUCUUUUGUAAAAGAAAUCAUACUAAUAAUAACAAAUAUAACUAAUAGGAUAGAACGACUGCGAAUACGGAUAUAACUAGGUACGAAUACGAAUAACAAAUUCGAAUACUAAUAGGAGGACGAAUACGAAUACUAAUACGAAUAUGAAUGUAAUUUAGAACGAAUAUGUCUACGAAUACGAAUAUGUCUGUGAAUACGAAUACGUCUACGAAUACGAAUACGUCUACGAAUACGAAUACGUCUACGAAUACGAAUACGACUACGAAUACGAAAUAACGCCUUUGGUUGACACUAAGACUUCGAAUAUACAUUUAAUGUACUCCUUGAGUGUCACCAGAGUUUCGAAUUUAUUACGAAAAUACUCCUCUGGACCUCUACUGAGUUUCGAAUAUAUCAGCCUCAGAAUGUCGACAGAGCUUCGAAAUUACAACUAAGUUAGUAGACAAUAGUCAUCCGAUCAUAGAAUAACUAAGGAAGUAGAAUACAUAAUUAAUACUACUCACAUAGUAAUUACUGGUAUUUCGAAAUCAGACUUAAGAACAAAACACCACACAUAGGAAAAUAUGGGAUUUUCCUGGGAUAACAUUAAAAUCAUUAAUGAACCUAGAUACGAAUAGACAACUCAACAUAUAGGAAAAUAUGGGAUUUUCCUGGGAUAGCAUUAAAAUCAAUAACGAACCUAGAUACGAAUAGACAACUCAACAUAUAGGAAAAUAUGGGAUUUUCCUGGAUAGCACAACAACACAUAAUCGAGUAAAGAAACAAACGAAUAACUAUAACUAUAAGGAAAAUAUGGGAUUUUCCUGGAAUGUCAUAACCAACCGUUUUUGAAAUUGUAUCAAGGGAUAAUUAAACUGUUUUUAAUAAGAAAAUAUGGGAUUUUCUUCAUCAACAACUUUUCUCGAAUGUAAAGGAACUUGUCUUUUCAAAACUAAACUGCUUAUGAACUCACCAGCUUUAUGCUGAUUUUCAAACUGCUUGUAUUCUCAGGUCAACGUUAGACAGGUACACCGCAACCGUUUGGAGAAGACGGAGCGUCCCGAAGACUUGUCUUUACUUUUGUCUAUAUUACAUAUGUAUAAUACAUGUACAACUUUACUUUCAAUCAAAUGUAAACAAUAUUAUGUAAUGUAAUGUUUUGUGAUUACUGCUUUACUAUGUGCAUUGGAUUUGAUACUCAACGUGGAGUCAACCCCGGGAACGUUUCCGCCUUUGGUUUUCGGGGUGUGACAAUUAGCCAGAUCUCAUAAUCAGAAUACAUAGUUAUAGUAAAUAAUAUCCUUAUUGAUCUAAUCAUAGUUACUUGUGAAAAGUUUCAAUCAUAGUCAAUGAUAUGCCUAUGAUAAAGUUCAUAGUCAAUGACUUGAGUAUGAGAAAAAUCCUUUUAUAACAAGUAUUUGCUAAUUGUGUAUAGAUAUCUAUGUAUAUAUUCUCUCUAAAAGAAUUACUUUCUCCUUCCAUCCUUGCAAUAAGGAGGAAUAUUAAUCAAGCUUAUACAUAAUUAUUAUACGUAGAUUACAUCCCAGUAUUCAUGAUGCUAAGUCGUUUAUAAGAUUCAAGAUCUAAUAUAACAUUUUGGUAAUUGAUGGAUUUCCAAAAACCAUCAAUAAGAACUCAUCAAUGAGUGUCACACCCCCAAACCAGACGGCGGAAACGUCCGGGGGUGGAGGACUUCAUUUGUAGUAUCACAACACAUGUAUCAUAGUAAUCAAAGCACAAACAACCAUUGUAUUUAAAAGUAUAAUAUUUACAUGUGUUCAAUCAUUGUAUAUUGAAACCAAAAUAGUUAUACAAAAGAAGAAGAUAAGACUCCUAAUGGCUCCAUUUCUCAAAAAUCUCGGGGAGUACCUGUUAUUAUUUCCCUGAUAAUACAAGUAAUUUGAAAAGAGAGUAUCAACAAUAAGUUGAGUGAGUACAUAAAUCCUUAUGUUUGAAUGGGUGUCUUUGUAUUUUGAAUAUGAAAAUACUUCUAGAAAAUCCCAUAUUUUCUGUGGUAUGUGAAAAGUUGUUUUAUUCCCAUAAAACCGUCUUAUUUGUAAACCAUUGUAUUUGUAAAACUUGUAUUUGAGAGUGUUCCUGGCUUCACCAGCUGUUAUUGAAAACUAUAGUAUACCAUUGUACUUUGCAUUUUGUAAACUCGUACUUUGAACAUAUACUUACGUUUAGUUGUUAUACACUAACGUGUUGUUAAUAUAUUUUUAAUGAGUUAUUAUAACCAUACUAAGACAUGAACGCCUGAAACAAACGCCUGAUGAGCGCUUAAAUUGUUGAUACCAAUUGCCACUCAUUGGCGUGUAUGCCUAACAAUAGCUAGCAGCCUGAGUGCGGGUUUGUCAAUCCCGAUAUAGAUCUACACACAACUUGUUUCGAUCCCCAUACUAGAGAUUCUGGUUAUAAUGUCAGGGCUUUACCUUGGUUGUCUAAACUGAAUUAAACAACCUGAAUUGAAUAUUUCAUAAAAAGCAUAUAAACGUUACAUGUAUAUUAGUUAUGAAAACCCAAUCAUUCUGAAAUAAAUGAUUGAUAGUUGUUCUUGACUUAGUAUCCCGAACAUGUAUUUGAUAAGUGUAAACCCUUGAUUUCUUUUGAAUUAAAAUUUGUGUUGCAUGUAAAACAGUGUAUUCAUAUGAAUUAUUGCUCUAUGAAUCAUAAAUUAUACCUAUUAUAAUUUAUAUGUACUUUAUGAAUUGGUAAAUAACUAUUUUUGCAUGUAAUCCUUUGCUCAACAUGUUACAAAGGGUGAUUAACUGAUGAAAUAACUUUUAUUUUUAUAUACAUAUACAAUUUUAUAUAUAAGUAAAAUUUGAACGACCUUCGGACAAAUAACUGGUACUAUAAGUCCACAUCCAAACAAGGAAAAGGACCUAGAAUGAAUUAUUAGUCCUAAGCCUUUUAAAUCUUAUUUAUAUUAAAUUAUAUAUACCAAUAUGUAUAUUUGGGAAAAAUAUAAGUUUAUAAAAGAGUUCAAUAUUUGAAGUAUUUUUGAUGCUUUAAAAUCAUUUUAUCGUGAUUUGAAAUCAUUUAUUUAUAACACAAAGUUGUUGUGUUAUAAUUGUAUUUCCCCCCUUAAAACAGUAGAAAUUAUGAAAUACGGGGGUAUGAACUCACUUGAUAGGUGGUAAUUCGGACAGUGUUUCGUUUCACGAAAAGGAGUUUAUUUUUCGAGAAACCGGCUCAACUCGAGCAGAGUUUUGACAGGAGAGAAGAUGAAUUCUCGAGAAUUUCGGGGCUUCACGGCUUACUUCGGGCUCGAGUCUUGAUACCGGGGCUUUAGGGGUUGUAUAUGAGUUUAAGGGAGUGGAAAAUGUGAAAGAGUGUGAAAUUUAGGGUGAAAAGUGAAAAUAAUUCGGAAGCCCUCGCAUGCUAUAUAUAGCCCGAAGUUAUGCGAGGGUGACAUGCGUUUGACAGAUGGCGAGGCGAGGGCAGUUCUUCGGACCGGAGGCUCGCUGCUGGAUGGAUCGGAUUGGUCUAGCCCUCAGCCCAAUGGAAAGAUGACACGUGCGAAGGGGGCUGGUCUAAGGCGUGCGAGGGGUGUGCGAGGAGCAUGCGAGGGUGAGGUCCGGUGUGUCUCAUGCGAGGCUGUCCGGUUCUUAAUGGACCUCGGACUUGGUCGAAUCAGGAGGUGACACGCAAGACAUCGGUCCACUCAGCAGCCGACACGUGGAGGCCUCGCAUGCGAGGGUGAUGUGGCAGUUACUGUUCAUGCGAAUAUUCCGGUUUUUGCUAUUUUUCUUUAUUUUUUUGCCAAAACUUGUAAAAUUCAUAACUUUUGCAUACGAACUCCGUUUUUGAUGUUCUUUAUAUGCACGCGUAGGUAAAAUUAUAUUCUACGACUUUCGUUUAGACUUCGUCGGCUAACUUGGAAUUUAUUUUAAAUAUUAGUAUUUUAAACAGACUGGGACGUGAAUCCGUUAUAAAUUCAUAACUUCUUCAUACGACGUCCGUUUUUGUCUGUCUUUUUACCAUUGUACUACUAAUGACGAGACCUUCAAUUCUCGUUUAGGUUGUGUCAGCUAAAACCACUCGAUCUUUAUUUCAAGUUUUUAGUUGUACACUGCUAUACUGAAACUUAGAAAAAUCAUAACUUCCUCAUACGAAGUCAGAUUUUGGCGUUCUUUUUAUGAAAGUUCUCGGUUUAACAUAAACUAUAACUUUCAUGUAGUUUAUUAAGGCUAGAAAGGCUUUUAUCAAAAAUUCAGUUUUUACACUGAACCGUAUUUUGCCGAUUUUGUCACGGAUUUUCGAUUGGUCAUAACUUCUUCGUUAUAACUCGGAUUUUAGUGUUCUUUAUAUUUUUGGAAACCUUGUUACAAUCUCUAUCACUUGGUUCAACCCAAUUGAGAUUAUUUAAUAAUUUAUUUUUGAGGGUCAAUUAUGUAAAUAUACAUAGUAUGCCAAAAUUUCUCUUUAUUUAAUUAAAAUGAAGUACAAUUUGACCUACACUAUUACAUAAGUUUGAAAUAACGGUUUGUUACAAUGAGAGAUUCCAUGUUUCUCAUGUUAUAGAUGAUUCCUACAAUAUAUGCAAAUAGUUUGUGUUUAUGGAUAGUUGUUAUAUAUGUUUCACAAUUCCUUAUUGAAAUUAGUGCCAACUGCUGCAACAUUAGACUCUGGUUCAUGAGUUGCUUUAAAGUUUUAUGGAUUAUUACAUUUAGUGGCACAAAAUUUUAGUGACAUAUUUACUUUGUACCAAUAUAUCAUAUUUUUAGUGGCUCAUUUUUAUAUGUCACUAAAAAAUGAAAGAUUUAGUGGCACCUAAUAUUUAAUGCCACUAAUCUCACUAAUGUUCCUAUUUUUAUUGAAGCCAUCGAGUAUUUUUCUAAAUUUUAAUUUCCAUCCUCGUUCCUCCCUCUACUUUUUCAUUUCUCCUGUUUCCUAAAUUUUCUAAUUUAUCUAAGGCUGAAACGUAAGGGUGUUGUAUGAUACAUAGAGAAAUGAAAUACAGUAUGGGGAAUUUAUCUUCUAUGAUAAAAAGAUACUUCACAAUUUCAACAUAAUGCUUUCUCUUGGCAGCCUCCUACUUUGAAUGACUCAUCACUCUAGUUUUCAUAUCGGCGGCUUUUCUUCAUUCAGGAUCACGCUUUUCUAUCUCCUUGAUUUUCAUCGAACAUGAUACAUCAAAGGUCUGUCACUGUAUCUCUCUCUCUCUCUCUCUCUCUCUCUCUCUCUCUUUUGUUCUCUCUGUUUCUCUCUCUCUCUCUCUCCCUCUCUUUCUCUCUCUUUCCCUUUCCCUCUCUCUUGUGAUUGUGGAAAUCAAAUUUGAUAGUGGGGUUCAUAUAUUACAAAUUUGGUGUUUACAGAUUGAAUGUUCAUGGAUCUCGAUUAUGGAACACUAACACACCCACAUAUCUUUUUCUCUCUAACGAGGUAUGGAACCUAAACCCGAUUCUAGUGUGAUUGACUAAUGAUCAUUUGGUUAAGAAGAGAAACAUGAUUGAGGUAUUCAGGAUGGCUUCUUCCUAGUAAGUACAUAAAUUGGGACUUAGUUUGUGAAUCAUGUGAUUUUCGGGUGAAAUGGUCGAAAGUAACAUUUUUUUCUUUUGUAUUCGUUCAACUACAAUCACGUGAAAAUGGAAAUCAAUGGAUUACCUCCUAGUGAAUGUUCCUUUUUCUCUAUGCAAAGUAAAAUACAAAUCAUAUACUCCCUUAUCCACUCUAUUCCGUCAUUAACCUUUUGAUGCAAAAGUCUUUGCUCUUGCACCAGCCUGAUUCUGCAUCUAUGAUCUUUCAUAUAGACCUCUCUAAGUAUAAUUGUAACACCCGGAUCCCGUGGUGUUUCAUAUUUUCAACUUUUGGAUUUUUAGGGUUUUCCAUGUUAUGAUGGAGACAUCACGACGUGGAAAAGAAAAAUAAGAUAGUGGGUUUAUUUAUGCCGCCACAACAUGGUAGUAUAUGGCCAUGGUGUGGAAGUUGGCAAUUGACAAACCCUAUUUUUCGGGUUUUGCUCCCUAUUUAAAGGAAUGAGGAAGCUAGAUUUUUCUCAUCCUCAUCCUCCAUCAACCUCCUUAAUACAUGAGAAACCCUAAUCCCUUUCCUCCUUUAUUAAAUCCCUUUUGGUGUCCUUUAAAGCCAUUAAAGGAAGAAAGAUGAAGAAGUGAGCUAAGAUUUAGCAAGCAAGUCCUCAUCCUUUGUUGUAGCACUCUUUUGGACCUUUGUACGUGUCUAAUACUCAAUUUUUAUCAUGAUAGGUUGCUAGAUCUUGUGUUUCGUUCAUAAAUUUUCAUGUUCUUGUCGGUUGGAGUGGUGAGAUCUCAUAAUGUUUGCAACUUUAUUAAUCUUCAGGCCAUUUAGUGUAUUUGGUGCUUUGGAUAUGGUUUAGUAAUGAAUUUUGGUGUCAUGCAUGUAUUUUUGGCAAUAAACCAUCUUUUUGACCAAAUGAGAGUUCAAGACAUACAUUGGACAUGCAUGUCUGGAAAGAAUGGAUUUUUAUGUUAUUUGUGAUGCUAGAAACCUUUCUGGAAGUGUUGGACUAGAGGUAUUCAAUAUUAAGUGUUUAAUGGUUUAAGCCAAGUUAUGUGUUGCCCCCUUUUGGACCUAGGAGUGAGAUAUCUAUCUCUUUGAGAUUGUAAAGGGAUAAAGUUGGAAACUUUAUCAACUUGGACCUUAUAAUGGAUUAGAUCUAAGGUUUGGAACCCUUAGACUCAAAGAAAAUAACUUAACCCGUUAAGUUGUUAGGAGCCCAGUGCCCUCGGCGUGGCUUUAGGUCGUUGCGGCAUGGCGACUGGGCUAAGGUUCGUUUCUUUUGUCAAUUAGCGGUCACAACAUGCCCAAGGAUGGCCACGAUGUAGCGACCAGCUGAAAGUUGACUUUUGUGACACCCUCUAAUUUUCAUAAGUAAUUAAAACUUUUUUUACGCUUUUAAAACCAUUUAUUUUUUUGCGGAAAAUCCUAGUACAAAAGAUCAUUAUGAUUACAAAUGUUUCUUUCCAAAAUAUUAUGUAACAUCCCGAAAUAUCAAGAGUAGAGUUGAAGGGCUAAAAGAGUAAAUUGGGAAAGANNNNNNNNNNNNNNNNNNNNNNNNNNNNNNNNNNNNNNNNNNNNNNNNNNNNNNNNNNNNNNNNNNNNNNNNNNNNNNNNNNNNNNNNNNNNNNNNNNNNNNNNNNNNNNNNNNNNNNNNNNNNNNNNNNNNNNNNNNNNNNNNNNNNNNNNNNNNNNNNNNNNNNNNNNNNNNNNNNNNNNNNNNNNNNNNNNNNNNNNNNNNNNNNNNNNNNNNNNNNNNNNNNNNNNNNNNNNNNNNNNNNNNNNNNNNNNNNNNNNNNNNNNNNNNNNNNNNNNNNNNNNNNNNNNNNNNNNNNNNNNNNNNNNNNNNNNNNNNNNNNNNNNNNNNNNNNNNNNNNNNNNNNNNNUAUCUUUUGGUGUUUUGGAGUUUAGAGGUUAGAUCUGAGGUUGCUACCUCAGAUCUGGAAUGGAGAAGGGUUGGAAUGCCUGAAAGUCCCUGUGUUUGAGUGUGUAGUGAAGCUAUCAUGUCCCAAACCCUAGCCCUAAAGUGUAUAAGGCCUAGAUUUCUUUGGAUUCACGUAAAGUUUGCCACUUUACGUGAUGGAUGGGUUGUAGGAGGCUAGAUCUAUGUUUUGGAUCAAUUUCAUGGCCUGGAAUGCUUCUGUAUGGAUUCAGACCGGUGGUACUCGGCAAGUCACAUGGGUGAACUUGACGAGUUUCUUGAAGAUGAGCUGGAACUCGACGAGUUGGAAGAACAACUUGGCGAGUUGGAUGAAGAUGGCCUGGAACUCGGCGAGUUGUAUGAACAACUAAGCGAGUAGGUUGAAGAUAGCCUUUGACUCGGCGAGUUUGUUCUUGGACUCGGCGAGUCUUGUCGAAGAGCCCCAAUAUUUUCUGGUUGAGUCAAGAAUCGGCGAGUCAAGGGAUGACUCGGUGAGUUGUGGGCGAGUGGACUCAGAGUUGUUGGACUCGACGAGUCUCGGGGUGACUCGGCGAGUUAGGUCGCGGAUUGAGGGAAGUUCUGAGUAUGGGGACUCGGCGAGUCAUCGGGUUGACUCGGCGAGUAGAGUCAGUCAGGGGUUGACUUUGACCUUGUCUUUGACCAAGGGUUGACCAGUGGUUUCCAGGGGCAUUUUGGUAAUUGUUGAUUAUUGUUUUGAGUUCAGUGCAUUGGUGGUUGUCCAGUGGUGGAGAUCGUAUCAGUGAUCGGAGCAGCUUGGGUUAUCUGUUCAGUCGGCAGUUUCGAGGUGAGUUAUCCUCACUAUAUCAACAGGGUCUAAGGCACCAAGGCCGGCCCUUAUCGGAUUGAGAUCCGGGUAGUUGUUGUUAUGUUAUUGCUUUGAUAUGUUUGCAUCCUGAGAGCUAGGAUGGUAUAUGUUAGAGACCUGAUUGAGAUCGGUAUCCUGAGAGAUAGGGAGAUGCUAUGCUAGUGACCUGUUAGGUCGGUAUCCUGGUUAGGAUGAUGAUAUGUUAUGUGAUCUGUUUGAUCUGCUUGUUGACUGUGAAUUGCUAUAUGAUUGUAUGUAUAUGUGCACAUGGUUGUUUGGACUGGAGUUGGGUUGAGGCGGGUCCUGCUUUGUGCUGUAGGCCAAGAUACCCAGGGCGGACCGGUUGUUCCGAAGGCCCAGCGAGCGGUCCGGAUAGGCUGUAGGCCCCAAGAGGGCGGACCAGACGUGCCGAGGCUCGGAGAGUGGACCAGGCCGACUGAAGGCCCGGUGCGGGCGGACCAGUCAUACUGUAGACUCAGAGAGUGGACCAGGUGGAUUGAAGGCCCGGUGCGGGCGGACCAAUCACACUGCAGACUCGAUGUAUGUGGUUAGAUUCGGAGAGUGGACCAGGUGGAUUGAAGGCCCGGUGCGGGCGGACCAAUCACACUGUAGACUCGAGGUUUAUGGCUAGACUCAGAGGGUGGACCAGGUGGACUGUAGGCCGGUGCGGCGGACCAGUCACACAGUAGACCCGAAGUGCAUGGCUGUUCUGUGAUCAGAUAUGUUGUGGCAUGUUAUGCGUGUAUGGUAUAAGUGGUUGGUAUUUUGGGGAUAUCUCACUAAGCUUUCGGGCUUACAGUUGUGGUUUUAUGUUAUUCAGGUUCUUCAGGAGACCGUGGCAAGGCGAAGGCGUGAUCGUACCGCUCCUCAUGAUUUUGUAGUAAUGUGAUUCUGCGAAUACGUUAAAUGUUUUGUAUUGAAAACCUUUUUGUAAAAAUUGGUUGUAUGUUUCGGUCGUUACAUAUUAAAACCCCAAGGAUAUAAUAAUCAAUAUAGAUACAUAAGUUAUAGCAUAAAGACCUGAUGGUCUUGAAUACUAUCCCGGGUUCUCUCUUAAUCACUCAGUGUCCUAAUCAAGUUCUAGUAGGUUAAGUCUUGAUACCUGUGAUGCAUAUAAACUGUGUUGGUCAGUUUGGGGAAACCUGGUGAGAUACAUUGGGAUUUCAAUCCCAUGAUAUUGAUAUGAUAAUACUCUUUAAUUAUCAGACCUGGAAAACCAACCAUUAUCAUACUAUAUUCAUAUAGGCUUACAUUCCUACAUAUCCAUUCCUACCAAUCGUCACAGAAUAGCUCAAGAUUAUCAGGGAGAAAUUAUCUCUCCUAAUGAACUGUUAAAGGAUUGACUACACAUCUAGGGGCUUCCUUUUCUAGUGUAAGUCAUAGAGGCCUAUGGGACGUCAGAGUAAUUGAUGAAUAUGGAUUUUCAAUUCAUCCACGUCUAUGAGUAAUGAAUUCACAGUAACAAUAUAAUUCACAAGAUUGUCUAGAAUGAUCAAGUAUUUUUCACCUACUCUAUAGGGUGACCAGACAUAUCGCUAAUAGUUUACUGAUCAGGACCCACCAUUAUUGGCCGUCCCAUAUGGAGCUACCGUACAUUGACACCUGAUAUUGUCUCAGAACAUAACUUUACUCUCUGUUCCUAGGUUACACACAUUCUCCUAAAGAGACUACCUAAUAUCAAACUUAAUUGAGUUAAGAAUCUUCCAUAAGUCAAAGUUUAUCCCUAUACUAGAUUACAAUGUAUGUAACCAACUCUAUUCUGCGUGACAUUAACCUAAUUCUAAUGUAUUUAUAAUCCCUACAGAGCAUUAGGUAUUAUUAUUAUUCUUUUAUCUUCUUAGCAAUACUAAUUUUAAUACUAUUAUAUGAUGUAAUCUAUUUAAUCAUAAAAUAGAACCAUAUCUGGUUCGCACAUAGCAUUAUAUAUAUAUAUAUAUAUAUAUAUAUAUAUAUAUACAUAUAUAUAUAUAUACACAUACAUACAUAUAUAUNNNNNNNNNNNNNNNNNNNNNNNNNNNNNNNNNNNNNNNNNNNNNNNNNNNNNNNNNNNNNNNNNNNNNNNNNNNNNNNNNNNNNNNNNNNNNNNNNNNNNNNNNNNNNNNNNNNNNNNNNNNNNNNNNNNNNNCUAAGAACAUAUAUAUAUAUAUAUAUAUAUAUAUAUAUAUAUAUAUAUAUAUGUAUGUAUACAUAUAAUCCAAGCAACAAGCACAUAAUUCACAUAUAACUUCCAACAGAUAUAUAAUACUUUAAUUAAUAGUCAUAUUAAAUCAUGUUCAUCAAAGGGACUAUGCACUCACUUGACUUAGGUGGGUGAUUGAUGAUAUGGGCAUAUUUUCAACUUACACCUUAGAUAUUCCUUGACGCGAGCUAAGUGUAAUUAAUAUAGAGUUUUAAUCUAAUGAUCCUAAAGACUAAUAAUUGUCUAGAUCGUCACUAAUCCUAAUAUCUACAUCAAGAUCUAUCAACUAAGGAUCAACAAGGUAGGAAAGUUAGGAGGCUUGAUCAUUUCGAUAUAACAACUUUUCUAAAAUCCAACAACUAAUUCAACCUAUGCAUUCUAAAGACCUCUCCCACAAGUAGAUCAAUCAAUAUAACGAUAUGGGAUUACUAAUAAAUAUUAUUUAUAAGUUCAUAACAAGGACUUAUGACCAUAAAAAUAAGUUUCAUUAAAAAUGAUAAAGUGUAGCUUACCUUACAGAUGCUUUAUCAAAAAGCUGGGAAUUAUGUAGGCAGAAUUUUGAUUUGGGAGCUUCUAUUCACUAGCUACUUGACAUCACAGGGUUUCUACUUGAUAGCUAUUACAAAUUCAGAGAUCGCAGGGGUUCAUCGAAGCCUAAAACUAAAGGAAAUUGGGGCUAAAAAUCGAAGGAAUCGAGAGAGAAAGUAUGGGUGGUAUGAAGGGGAAUGAGGUUGAGUACACACACACAGACCCCCAUCAACGUGUUUUUUUUACGCGCUAGUAACUCUUCCUCAGCCAGUAUAUANNNNNNNNNNNNNNNNNNNNNNNNNNNNNNNNNNNNNNNNNNNNNNNNNNNNNNNNNNNUAUAUAUAUAUAGCCCAUAUGUGUGGCGUGCAUGAGGUGCACGCCGCACACUCCAGCCACAUCGAUCCUCCGUGCCAUGCUCCUCACGUGUUAGGUCUAGAUUUGUCUGUGUGCCUAUGUCGGCAGCCUACUCUAUGCCAUGCUCCUCACGUGCACGCGUGUGUAUUCAUGAUUUUUCUAAAAAUCAUAUCUUCUUUACAUGAUCUCCGUUUUCGAUGUUCUUUAUAUCCACGCAUAGCUAACAACCAGAUCUACAACAUUAAUUUAGACUCCGUCGGCUAAAAUCCAUUAAAAAUUCAUAACUUUCUCACAUUAAAAAUUGUAUUUUUAAAAACUGUAUUUUUAAAAACUGUAUUUUUUAGCAGGUUUAGAUUGUUAAAAUCCAUUAAAAAUUCAUAACUUUCUCACAUGAUAUUUGUUCUCGACUGUAUUUAUAUCGAUGGAAUCGUAUGGACGUGAUCUUCAAAUCUCGUUUAGAUUGUUCUUCCUAACAAUCAACCGAUCUCUACUUCGGUUUCUGAUCCAUAUACUAUUGCGUUGAAAUUUUGAAAAAUCAUAACUCCCUUUGAUGAAAUCAGAUUUGGAAGUUCUCUAGAUGCACUCUCUCAAUUUAACGACUACUACAAUAUUCAUUUAGAUCACUUAGGCUAAAAAUUAAUCUAUCGAAAAUUCACUUAUCACGAUAUGUAGAGCCGUGUCGGUUUGAUCAUGAAACAUCGAAGAAUCAUAACUUCUUCAUACAAAGUCGGAUUUUCAGCAUUCUUUAUAUGUACGAAACCAUUUUCACAUACACAAUAACUUUAGUUGAGGUUAUUUAUCCUAAAUAACCUUUUAUAAAAAGUGAUUUUUAUGGCUUAUUCAUUUUAAUUGACUAGUCCGAAUCUGUGGGCGUUACAACUUUUGACUAUUAACUUUGACCAAGUUUGACUUAAUGGCAUUUUGGGUAAUUUGGAUAGUAGUUUGAGUCCAUGCUAAUUGUAUAUGUGAUAUGUUGAGGAAACAUUUGGAGCGGUGAUAUAUACAACUAUUUUUUAGUCCAUGAGGUAAAUUUUCGUCACUGUACUUAUGGGUCGAAGACACCAAUGUCGGCACACUAGACUAUGUAUCCUAGUAUAUAAUGUUGUAAUGUUGUAGUGAUCUGUUAAAUCUACAUGAUUAUCUAUUUGUUGUUAUGUGUUUUAUCUGUUUCAUAUGUCGACAUAGUAUGGUUGGGUUGUUUCAAUACUGCUCUAUACAGAAGCUUACAAGCUUGGGAGCAAGCCAAACAUAAGUUGUGGGUCGAAAAGGCAAUCCAUACUUAUGUUGUGGGAUUGGGAGCAAUCUAGACAUGAGUUGUGGUCUAUGUUGGUAAACUAGGCUCGUGAUGUGGGCUCAUGGAUAAUCUGAUUUGAGAAGAAUAUGUAAGGUAUUGUUGCAUUCUCAAUCAUUCAUUUGUUGAACCUGAAAUCGUAAUAGGGAAAUAGUUUGUAAUGAAGUUUUAUGUCGACUUUGUAGGGUGUAAACCCAUGGUUUUUGGUAGAUGGCGAAGUGGGUCCCAACAAUGCAUACAAUGUAUUUCCGUAUGAUCCAUGUUUAUUUAUUUUUCAAUUGUCAUUAUGUAAACUAUUUUUUUUGUAAAUCAUGUCUUAAUGUAAAACAUUUUAAAACAUGCCAUAUUAAUGACAAGUUAUUGAGGUUGGGGCUAAUGUAUUAUUCACUGGUUCUGCUUUUUUUAAGCUAAAGUUUAUGCUGAAGGUAAUGACUCUUUUUUAAUCUACGUAUAUAACCAAAACUUGAGUAUAAAUCCUUGAAUAUGUUUAUUUUUUCAUUUUUAUUGGAAUAAAAUGUAUUAAUACCAGCAGAAGACCAGUGACAAUUCCUACAUAAAAGGUAUUAUCUCAAUGUAAUCACUAUUUAACUAUUGGUAUCCAUAUUAUAUGUAUCUACUUGUUGAAGUAUUUGAAUAUGCAAACAAAUUUUCACAAGAAUGUAUAAAUGUCGGAUUUUCAAACAACGGGGAGGAUUCUAUACCAAAAUCCUACAGUGAUCAUAUUAAUGUGAGAUCCUUGUAAUAAAGGAGAUGCAUGUGAAUCGUGGGACAAGAUGCGAAUGCACAUAAUUAGUCUAAAAAGUUAACUCUUUGCCCAUUACCUCUACACCUUGUUUAGAAAACAUGACAGCUUCUUGAUUGUUGUAAAUAGAAACAUAAUAAAGAAUGAUGUGAAUGCACAUGAUUAGUCUAAAAAGUUAACUCUAUGCCCAUUACCUCUACACCUUGUUUAGCAAGCAUGAUUGCUUCUUGAUUGUUGUAAACAUAAACAUGGUAGAGAAUGUGGAGCUUGUAGCAGUUUUAUUCUUUUUUUAAACUUUAUUAUUAUUAAAUAUUGAGGAUACUGUGGUUAGACAAGUUAAAAUUUUAAUUUAAGUAAUGAUAUUGUGUUUUACAUUUAUUAUUUUAAUUGUGUUUUUAUUAUUUUAUAUCAUAUUAAAAUUAAAAAAGUUAGACCUACAUUUUUUAAUAUAAUUUUUUGUAGUGAAAAAAUGUGUCACUAAAGCAUGAAAAUAAUAUUUUUAUUACCAAGGUAAAAAAAAAUGACACAGAAACCUAAUAGUGUUGUAGCGGCAUAACAAAAAGUAUCACUAAAGCCCCAUAAGCCUCCGACAUGUAAUGAUUAGCAAAAAUAAGAACAAUUGUAUGAUGCCAUAUAUUGAUUUUUAAUAACAUGAGUAUUUUAUCAAAAAUUUUGUAAGGGAUUUAGCAUAUUUUAUUUAGAAAAAUUCUUGUGAAAUUAAUACUAGUGACUAAUGUUAAAUUAUUUUACAACGUGUUAUCAUAGAUUAAUAUCAGUUCGUGAAAUAUAUCAACACAUGUCAUUUGAACGGGAAAUUUUAAUUACCAUUUCAAUAUGUCUGCGGUUAAUGAUUAAUUUAAAUUCCAUCUACAAACUUUAAUUCAAUAGCUUUAAGGGAUCAAAUUGACUACAUUACGAACAAAAACGACGAAAACUCGUUAACAAUAUUAUUCAAGUGGUUAAAUAUCGUGAAAUUAUACCUUACGUAAUAAAUCUUAUAUUUAUUUUACAAAAAUAUAAAACUGAUUUUUAUGAGGUAUAAUUGAAAGUACCCAAAUGUUUAUAAAUAAUAAAAUUAUAUAUAAACAUUUAAAUGACAAUAUAUAAAAAAAACUACAUGGCUAUUCUUAUAUAUGUAGAAAAGGCAAGUAUGGGUACAAGACUGAUAGUAAUACCAUGUAAGGAAUAACAUGUCUAAGUCACCAAUAGAUAAGGUAAAUACUUGAGGGGAGUACCAAGUAAUCUAAUUAAUCAUUUAAUACACUUGUAAACUUACUCCAUUUCCCCCUCAUUUUCAUGACUGCCUUUAUCCUUCUCCUAAAUAAUUAAAUUAACUAAUAUUUAACUACUAACUACUUAGUUACUAACCUAUAUUUAUCUAAAAAAAUCUACAAGUUUUAAGUGGGUGUAUCAAAUCAAAUCCAUGGUGAUGAUAUCGAAUCUUACUUGAAGAUUUCAACCUAUCUUACUUCUUCUUCCACUUAAAUAUCUCAAUAUCCCAUCCCUCAUUUGUUGCUUUCAUUUCCCAGCAAACUCUCAAAAAUAGCACUCAAACUUCAUCACUUUUCUGUCCUUCUCCACCUAUUUGAGAUCCACCAAAACCGAGAGCAAAGGAGGGUUGUUGUCCCUCGGUUUUUCAGCCACCAUUUACAUCUUCUUUUGCAAAAGUUUUCUACCCCCAAACACCACUGAAAGUAUGUUAAUAAACUACACUAAAUGUGUUAACAAAACAGUACCUAAACAACUUCUUUUCUUGCUUCUUUGCUGAGUUUUUCGAGCCAUAGAACACCCAAAACAAUGGUUGUUUUCGAGUGGACACAAACACCCAUAAAAACUUUCAUUUUGCAACCAUUUUUUGAGUCAUAAUAGCAUUAUAUGUUUCUAUUUUCGAGCACCAUUUAACCCAGAGUAACCUACCUUUGUUCCUCAAAAGUCUUGUGUUCCAACCUCUUUUACUUUAGAUAAAAGAAGAAGCUAGGUAAUUUCUUCAUUUUUACCCAUUCCUUUUGUCAUAAAACUAACUUGUAGUAAGUCUUUUAGAACUUGAUUAAAAGUCUAACUUAUUGUUAAUCUGUUUCUAUAUGUGACAUCCUCAAUUUCACGACCAGAAAUGAUCGAUUUGCUUAUGCUUAUCAAAGUAGAGUAUCCUUUUACAACAUCUCUUUAUAUUAAUAGUCUAUAUAUCCUUUGAGGCUCUCGAUUGAUAUCUAUAUCAUCAUAUAUAAUUACCUACGAUAUAAUAAAUUGAGCGUGUCGGGUUGGGAAACCUGGUGAGUGCAUAGGGUUCUCUACCCAUAAUAUUGGAAUUUAUUUCUUUAUAUAAUUCACAACAAAUAGUAACCCAAUUACACAUUCAUGUUACUUUAUCUAUCUAUCUAUCUAUCUAUCUAUCUAUCUAUCUAUCUAUCUCUCUCUCUCUCUCUCUCUCUCUCUCUCUGAAGGGUUCUAUCCUAAGGGGUAUGCAUUGGUAAGGUAACUAAGGAAAAAUUGGUUACUCAAAUGAAUCCAAAAUCGAUACUCUUGGUUUGUGUGAUUUCAUUAAUAACUACAGAUUGCAAGUUUGUUAGUGUUCGACUGGACUGUCUAGAAUAGUCUGUGGUCGCCAUCAAUACUCUACUUGAUGAUUGAUCUUUGUUUGGCAUGGUCUGUUUGCCCUAAUUUUGGCAUGGUCUCUCACCACUAUUUUAGCUCUAGUAUUUUUUUCACCAUUGUCUAUUUUCUCUUAUGGUCUCUAACUAUUAUCUCAUUUGUCAUAUCUUUUUCUACCCGUCCUACCCUAUACAUUAUGAGUAUGGUAAACUACAUAUAUGAUAUUUUAGAAAAGUUAUUAUAUCAUGUAACAUAGAUAUCAAAAACUCAGAUAAUUAGCACAUAAACUUUUUAGGAAAAUUAAAUACUUGAUAUCUAUGUAUAAGUUGAAGGUAACUAUGCACUCACAUGACUUAGGUGAAUGACUGGAGAAUUUGUUAGCGCUCUACCAAACUCCUUGACUUUUCUUCUGAUGUGACCUAGUUACGAAUGUCACUAAGUCUUAGAUUAAUAUUCUUGGUGCCUAAGGAUAGUCUAGAUAACUCAAUAAUCCAUAAGUCUACUGAUAGUUUGUUUUAUUUACUUCUUUUUAUAGUUUAUUUUAGCACAUUUCAUUCGCAUUUUAGUUAAUUUCCAUGCAUAUUUUCCCUUUUGUUAUUUUUAUGACCAUUUCAGGUGCUUUCUAGUUUCUUGAGCACCAUUGCAGAUUUUCUUGGAAACUAGCGGAGCGGCACUCUUGGGAGGCGAUUGGGCUUGAAGGGAAAUGGGGAUUUCGUGCUUGAUGGCUAUGGAGGUGAUUCAUGGAGUGGGCUUGUCAAUUGCUUCAAGGUGUGGAAAUGUUGAGCUUUAAAUUUGAAAGGGAACGAGAGAGUUCUUGGGUGUGCAAGAUCGAUUUUUAGGAGUUUGCGGAAGUUUUGAGUGAUGUGGAAAGAAAAAUUGGGCUCAAAUUGAAGAAAUAUUGAAGAAAAAUGGGCUAGAAGCUGAUUGGACUCGAACUGGGCCAAUGGAUUAGCUGUGGGGGCCCAAGACUUGAGGAAGCCCAAAAAUCUGUCAGAGCCCGCAGCCCGCGCAAGAUUCCCCGCGGCCCGCGUGGAUUCCUGACAAGGGCAAUUUCGGGAUUUUGCUAAGAGCUCUAUGUUGGGAAGGUUGGUGUGCCUCUUUAGCCUCAUCUUGAUGGUCCAAUUUUGACUUGUUCUGUCUGGAGUUUGGAGUGCUUGUGAAGGUCAAGAACACCUCAAGAACAUCUUGAUUUCAUCUCUUGAUUAUUGUGAAAUGUUUGGUACAAUCUCAUCUAAUUUAAUUUCUUUGAGUUUAGCCAUGCUUGGCUAAACUAAUCUUGGUUGACUUUUUGUUGAAUCCUUUGUACUUUUGUUAAAUGUUGAAGAAUCCAUGAAGUUGUUCUUAAAGCUUUAUGGAAAUGUUUUGUGUUUUAUCAUAUUAUCACUACUAGUAUGUUUUUAUUCAUGAGUUUAAAUGUGUUUGUGGUGAUUGGUUGGCUAAUUUCUUGAUUAAGUAAAGGAUCCUCAAAUUAGCAAGCAACAAAUGAUUUUUGUGUUGUUUUUGCUUCACACAAUCAUAAAAACAUUUUCUCCAACAUGGUAGUGAAAGCAUUUGACCCCUCUUGGAUUUGGUGACUUUUUGGUUCUUAAUGCUAGUUGACUUUCACUAAUUACAUGCUAUUUGGAAUUAGUGACUUUGACUAAGGAAAUUGUUAUGAGCUUCUCUAGCCAUUUCAACAAUUAAGAAAAGUCUAGGUAAUCUCAAGCUCCUUGGAUUACUAUAGCCAAAUUAAGGAUUUAAAUCAAAGUAUUGCACCAUUGGAUUCUAAUGAUAUGUUCAUCAAAAGUCAAAGUGAGGAAACUUUAAGUCAACCAUCUCUCCCUUAUUGAUUUUACAUCAAACUCUUAUUUUUGUUGCAAUUGUCUAUUUAAAUCAUAGUUAAUUCUAGUUUGUUUCAAGUAUUUCAAAACACCAAAACCCCCCAUUUUAUUUUUAUUGUUAUUUUACAAGUAUUUUUACAAAGAGAUUUUUCAUAGAGUUAUAAAUUGAACCAAUCUCCGUGGAUUCGAUCCCUUUACCACUAUACACUAUUUUAGUGUGUAAUAUUUAGGGUUAUUAUUUGUGUUGGCCUCGACAACCACCAUCUACACCAAAAUCUAUCAACUAAGGAACAACCAGGUAGGAUCAUAUCGGAGGUAGGGUUCGUUUGGUAUACAAAGUAUACCAUUUGGAAAUCCUACUUUAAACACCUCACUAAAUCCAGCCUAGAUAUCAUCCCCAUAAGUAGAUCAAUCAGUAUAAUGACAUGAAAUUACUGAUAAAUCUUAAUUAUAGGUUCAUAAUAACGACUAUGACUAUAAUUAAAAGUUACACUUGAAUAAAAUAAGUAUAUUUAACUUACAAACCACACUAAUGAAAGCUGGGAAUUAAGCCAACAAAACUCUGACUCAUAAUCUCUUAAUCGGCGGCUAAAAUCUUAAGGGGGAAAGGGCUUAAAAUUGACAGAAAUUGAGAGAGAAAUGUAGGAAUGGUGUGGCAUCCAAGUGAAGUUCGACGGCUAUUUAUAGAGGUAUUUCAUCUGUGCGUCGUGCAAAGAUAAUAUGCAAGCUACCCAUAUAGUCAGAAGAAUGUGACGUGCCACUUUUUGCAUGUUGUUAUGUGUCGCAUUUUGGGUGGAGUGUCAUUGCAUGCGACACACUUUGUCGUUGUGCAUGUGUGCGCACGAAAAAUUUAUGCUCCCAAGGAAGUUCAUAUAUUCUUCAUACAAGCUCUGUAUUCGAUUGGUUUUAUAUCCACAUGUAGCUAUCGAUGAGAUCUACAAUGUUUGUUUAGCCUCCAUCGGCUUAUAUUUACCUAAUUUUUAUAUUUAUAUUUUUAACAGAUAUAGAGUGUUAAAAUUUGUUAAAAAUUAAUAACUCUUUCAUAUGAUCUACAUUCUCGAUUUUCAUUAUAUCGAUGGAUUCAUGAGGACGAGAUCUUCAACUCUUGUUUAUAUUGUUUUUCCUAAUAAUCAACCGCUCUCUACUUCAGUUUUGAGUUGUAUAUUGUUGCAGUGAAACUUGUGAAAAUCCUCACUUCCUCUCACGAUGUUAGAUUUUGACAUUUUGUAUAUGUGUGUUCUUGGUUCAAUGACUACUUUGACUUUUUACCUAGGAUAAAAAGAAAUCUAUCUUCAAUUCAUUAUUUACAACAUACGGUUUGGACACAAAAUUCAGAAGGUCAUAACUUCUUCACUCGAAGUCGGAUUUGGGCGUUCAUUAUAUGUACGAAAUCCUCGUCACAUAUAUUAUAUCUUUGGCUAAGACUAUUUAUCCUGGAUAAUCUUUUUUCAAAAAGUCAAUUUUAACACUAAUAAUAGUCAAAUAGACUAGUCCUAAUUUUGUGGGUCUUAAAAUUAUCUCCCCGUUAGGAUGAUUACAUCCUGAAAUCGUCAACAGAACAAGGCUUCUACGGAGACCUCACACACUACCUUCAAGGUUGUAGAACUCGCUACUCAAUACCUGCUCGGCCGACUGGGAGUAACGAGUACUCAGGAGUACUUGGGGAGUACUCGGAUUUGGUAAUUCAUGCAGAAAUAUUUUUAGGAAAAUUAUAUAUGUCAAAAUCAUAUGUUAAAAUCAUAAUUUGAUUGAAAUAUAUAACAAAAUUAGAUACAUGUGAAUACAUAUAAACUGAAAUACACACAAAUGUCUCACUUCAUAAAUAAUUAUUGAAAAUUUAAGAUAAAUAUGUAGUAAUAAUCACAUGUGUGUGUUAAAUAAUAAAUCAUUAAGUAUAUCAUACAUAUUAAUCUUUAAAUUAUUGAUUUUUUUCUCUUUUUAUGACAUUUUUGACCCUUUGACUGAUUUUGACCGAGUUGGCAAAGUUUGACCGAGUAGGCCUGGGUAAUACCAAUUAGGCUCGAGUUAGAGAGAUGUUGACCAAUUUUUGACCGAUUUUGAAAGAUUUUUAACCGAUUUUAACUUAAUCGGUCAAAAAUCGCCUCAGUGGAGGACCGAUUCCCAAUAAUUGGCCGAGUACUCAGCCGAGUAGGCCGAGUUUUGCAACACUGAUUACCUUUCUGUCCUAUGUAAUAACCAUAACUCUCAUGUCUUUUCUAUCGAGAUUCAAAUUCUUAGACUUCUUGACUAUUAAUGAUGCUCAAUCUUGCACCUGCUUUAAAUCUGAUCUUCAUCGGAAACUCCAUCUGCACUUACUUUGAGUAUCGUAACAAAUUGAUGGUUCAUGUUCUAUUGACCUCUCGUCCUACGAUGCAAUGACUAAACUCAGGUCUCUUUGAGUUAGAAUUCUGGAUGAAAGAUACCUUCCUUUAUAUUCUAAUGUGAUAUAAUCACAUUCUUGCAUGUAACACUUCUAGCUACAUGUUGCUUGAUCUCAACAAUGACUACGAUACCUCUUUCGAUCGCUUCUAUUAUCUUUUCCUUCAAUAUCUUGACUUAAGUAGGAUGCUACACCGAUCAUGGUUCACUAAACCAAUUAACUUACUGUGCAUACUUUUUCUCCAGUCGGACUCGAUUCGAUAUGAUUACUAGGCUCGGAAUACAUUCAUUCUUUUAGUGAGUACUGAAAGGAUGGUAACGAUAAACAUGAACAAAACAAAAUCAAUUACUAGUGCUUUAGUAACUUUGUGAGUCAUACAAGUUCAAGUAUGACUCCUUGUUUUUGGUAGUAUGGGCCCAUAAUAUUUUUACACCUAGUCAUACAUGUCCCAAAAUUUGUGUCGCAGUCCCCAAGCUCUAAAAUCACAAAACAAUUUAACACAUAUGAAUGUGUCCAAGCAAUAAUAAAAUUUUUUCUAGACUCCACUAGGACUUCUUCCAGGCAUAUCUUUAAUAGUAAUUCUACUCCAACUCAUUUGGUGGUGGAAACGCCAGAUGAUGAGACGACUUCGGGAAUCACACCAAAUGUUCUACCAUCUCGCCAAUCGAAGGUGUACUUCAGAUCUAUCAUAUUGUUAUGUAUUCUAAAGACAAGAUACCACUCUAUUGGUAUUACCUACGAUAUCUUGUGAUAUGUAUCAUUCACUAUCAUAAGCCCUCCCAUUUCCUCCAUUUUCUCAAUCCACUACGAGUCUUUACCAUGAAAUUAUGUACAACAAAGUAGACGUUCGGUAUACUAAGACAAGAAUAUACAUAGGGAGGGUUUUGACACAUUAUCAUCCUUAUCACUCUAAAAAAGUUAUAUGUCGGUUCUAAUACCGUAAUUAAACAUUUAGAAACCUAAACAUAUAAAAUUUCCUAAUUCUAGUUUGGAAACAAACCUUAAAUCAAAUAAAAAAAAUAGCAACUUAAAUAGGAAAGCUAAGGUAUGUUAUAAAUCGUUUAGAACAUAAUAGAAAUUAAGGCACAUUCCCUAUAGUAUUCUAUUGCUUGUGUCAAUUUAUGUAUACUACCUAAAAUAAAAUUGUAACAUCUAGAUUUCUAGGGAUAAUAUUUUGAGUAUUCAUUUCGAGAUAUGAUGAGUGACUCGACGAGUUGGUUCGUUAACUCGUCGAGUAGGGUCGCGUUUUGGUGACGUGUUUAAUGAAUGGACUCGACGAGUCAGGUAUCUGACUUGCCGAGUCAGCGCUACUGAUAAAAACCCUAAUUGUCCGGGUUUGUAACCUAUUUAAAGGCCCUUAUGGACUUCAUUUGUGGCCACACUUCCAUCGAGAGACUCUAAUUGAUCCAGAGAGCAUAGAGAGAAAGAGGGAGCUAAUUUUCAUCAUUUUGGGUGCAUUCUUGCAAGGAAGAAGGAGAGUGUUCAAGCUAAAUUGUUGGAGGGGCUCAAAUCUACUACUAUUCCAUUCAAAGUUGUUGUUUAAGGUAUAAAUCUCUACCUAUUUUCGUAUGGUUAGGAGAUCUCGUGAAUUUAGGGUUUCUUUACCCUCUUUUAAGUUGAGUUAUGAUGAAAGUGAAGUCCCCUUGAGGCAUAGACAUUAGAUCUGGACCUUGAGAGGUCCAGAGAGUCCCAUGAUCCCAACUUUAUGCAGUCACAUAAGAGUAUUGAGCCUAAGACACCAUUAUGAGGGUUAUUUUGUCAAUUAGAGCUAGAUGUGCGAUGCAUGAUCAUAAAGAUUGAACCUUUACAUGAUUAAUGGGCUUUGAGAGCAUAGAUCUAAACUUUGGGAAAGUAUCUUGCACUAAAAUCAUCUGAAUGCAUAAGAGACUCAAUAGACUCGCUAAGUCGAGCAGCUGACUCAGCGAGUAACCCAUGGUUUUUCCCUAUGAGCUAAGUAAUGCGGUGACCCAACGAGUUAAGGGUUAGCUCGUCGAGUUGGAGCUUUCUGAGGAUACCAAGAAUCGAAUGGAGUCGACGAGUUCCCCGAGUACACUCGACGAGUCUUGUCAAAGUUGGACUGUUGACUGGAAUUAACUUUUGUUGACCUUUGGGUUGGUCAAAAUCAGUGAAAGAGGUUACGGAAGGGUAGAAUGGUCUUCUAACCAGCUUUCAGAGAUAAGAGUGUAAGGAGAAUAUUAAUUUGAGUGUUACCUUGUGAUAGGCGGAGGCUAGAUUGAGGAUAUCGGGCAAGAGAGUUUACUUGACAUCUUGCGAGGUGAGUCUUCUCACUAUACUUUACCUUGAGUGGUAGUUAUGUGUGACCGGAAGGUCUUAUGUGCUUACAUUGAGUAUUAUGUUGUGACAUCCCCAUUUUCACGGCCAGAAAAGACCGAUUUUGUUUAUGCUUUAUAAAAAUCAGAGUAUCUCUUUUAAUAAAAAUGUUGUGGAAUUUGUUCCCAGAAAAACACGAUAAAUACGUUAUCAAAACAUUUUCGAAGAAACAUAUUUUUUUCAUUUUAAAACGUUUGGGAUGUAAUUGUCAAUACAGAAACAUAAGCAUAAACGGAACUUACAUUUAUUUACACUAAUGAUCUACACCUGUGAUAUAAAUAAACCGAGUGGGUCAGGUUGGGAAACCUGGUUAGUACAUAGGGUUUUCAACCCACAAUAAUAUAAUUAUUAUGUUUAAUCAUCAAACANUCAUAUCAACACCUGUGAUAUAAAUAAACUGAGUGGGUCAGGUUGGGAAACCUGGUGAGUACAUAGGGUUUUCAACCCACAAUAAUAUAAUUAUUAUGUUUAAUCAUCAAACAAUUAAACAAUCAACCCAAUUACCCAUCCCCAUUAUCUUCUUUAUUCUUAAGGAUCUACCCUAAGAAGUGUAACAUCCCUAAAUAGCAAAGAGUAUAGUUGAAGGCCUGAAAGCGUAAAAUUGGAAGGAGAACUCAACGAGUCUAUGGGUGGACUCGGCGAGUAGAGUCGCGACUUGGUCACGUGUUAAGUGGCCCACUCGGUAGGUCAGUAAGGUGGACUCGACGAGUAGGCGUUGAGUGGAGAAAACCCUAAUUCUCGGGGUUGAGCCCUAUAUAAAGAACAUAACAUUCAUUCCCCCAGCCUCUUUACUCAUCCUCAAGUCCAGAAACCCUUAGCCUUCGUGUGUGAGUGAUCAUAUUGCAUUGGGAAGCUUGGAGAAGCAAUUGUUGAGGAAAUCUUGAAGGGUAGGAGGCUUGGAGCAAGGGGCUUUGCUUGGAUUCGAGUUCCAUUGCAGUUGGGGCGUUCUUUUGAGGUAAUAUCUCGUCCUUGGGCUGUUAUUCUUAUGGAUUCAUCAUUAUGGGGUUUGUGGGGAGCUUAUCUUUUGGUGUUUUGGAGUUUAGAGGUUAGAUCUGAGGUUGCUACCUCAGAUCUGGAAUGGAGAAGGGUUGGAAUGCCUGAAAGUCCCUGUGUUUGAGUGUGUAGUGAAGCUAUCAUGUCCCAAACCCUAGCCCUAAAGUGUAAAAGGCCUAGAUCUCUUUGGAUUCACGUAAAGUUUGCCACUUUACGUGAUGGAUGGGUUGUAGGAGGCUAGAUCUAUGUUUUGGAUCAAUUGCAUGGCCUGGAGUGCUUCUGUAUGGAUUCAGACCGGUGGUACUCGGCGAGUCACAUGGGUGGACUCGACGAGUUGCUUGAAGAUGAGCUGGAACUCGACGAGUUGGAAGAACAACUCGGCGAGUUGGAUGAAGAUGGCCUGGAACUCGGCGAGUUGUAUGAACAACUCGGCGAGUAGGUUGAAGAUAGCCUUAGACUCGGCGAGUCUGUUCUUGGACUCGGCGAGUCUUGUCGAAGAGUCCUAAUAUUUUCUGGUCGAGUCGAGAAUCGGUGGGUCAAGGGAGGACUCGGUGAGUUGUGUGCGAGUGGACUCGGAGUUGUUGGACUCGGCGAGUUAGGUCGCAGAUUGAGGGAAAUCCUGAGCUUGGGGACUCGGCGAGUCAUCGGGUUGACUCGGCGAGUAGAAUCAGUCAGGGGUUGACUUUGACCUUGUCCAAGGGUUGACCAAUUCUUUUCCGGGGGUAUUUUGGUAAUUAAGGGUAUUUAUUGAGUUGAGUGUUUUGGUGUUCAGUGGAGGAGUUCGUGUCGGAGUUUGGAGCAGCGGGAUCUUAUCCUUUCAGCCGACAGUUUCGAGGUGAGUUAUCCUCACUAUAUCAACAGGGUCUAAGGCACCAAGGCCGGCCCUUAUCGGAUUGAGAUCCGGGUAGUUGUUGUUAUGUUACUGCUUUGAUAUGUUUGCAUCCUGAGAGCUAGGAUGGUAUAUGUUAGAGACCUGAUUGAGAUCGGUAUCUUGAGAGAUAGGGAGAUGCUAUGCUAGUGACCUGUAAGAUCGGUAUCCUGGUUAGGAUGAUGAUAUGUUAUGUGAUCUGUUUGAUCUGCUUGUUGACUGUGAAUUGCUAUAUGAUUGUAUGUAUAUGUGCACAUGGUUGUUUGGACUGGAGUUGGGUUGAGGCGGGUCCUGCUUUGUGCUGUAGGCCAAGAUACCCAGGGCGGACCGGUUGUUCCGAAGGCCCAGCGAGCGGUCCGGAUAGGCUGUAGGCCCCAAGAGGGCGGACCAGACGUGCCGAGGCUCGGAGAGUGGACCAGGCCGACUGAAGGCCCGGUGCNUGGGCCCAGUCAUACUGUAGACUCAGAGAGUGGACCAGGUGGAUUGAAGGCCCGGUGCGGGCAGACCAAUCACACUGCAGACUCGAUGUAUGUGGUUAGAUUCGGAGAGUGGACCAGGUGGAUUGAAGGCCCGGUGCAGGGGGACCAAUCAUACUAUAGACUCGAGGUUUAUGGCUAGACUCAGAGGCUGGACCAGGUGGACUAUAGGCCGGUGCGGCGGACCAAUCACACAGUAGACCCGAAGUGCAUGGUUGUUCUAUGAUCAGAUAGGUUGUGGCAUGUUAUGCGUGUAUGGUAUAAGUGGUUGGUAUUUUGGGGAUAACUCACUAAGCUUUCGGGCUUACAGUUUUGGUUUUAUGUUUUUCAAGUUCUUCAGGAGACUGUGGCAAGGCGAAGGCGUGAUCGUACCGCUCCUCUUGAUUUUGAAGUUAUGUGAUUCUGGGAAUACGCUAAAUGUUUUGUAUUGAAAACCUUUUUGUAAUGAUUUAAUGGAAUCGAGUUGUUUUUGAAAAAAUUAAAAUUGGUUGUAUUUUUCGGUCGUUACAAGUUGGUAUCAGAGCCUUGGUUUGAGUGAAUUGGAGAAACACUCGUGUGACUCCAGUCUCAAAUCGAGGAGAGUUUUCAAAAGAGAGUUUAAAAUGGUUUUCAAAUGAGUAAAGGAGGACGCGGAGGUACGAUCAGUCGGAGCCAGUAAGUAACCCCAAAAUACCAUGCAUGUUAUUUGUUUUUGAGCUUUGAUAGAACAGCAUGCUAGUGUUAGGCUAGGGAUCUUCAGGAUUUCAUGAUAAUGUUGCCUGAUUUGUGAUGCCUGUAGCCUUGGGUUUCCUUGUGGGAGAUUUUCGGAGUUCCUCUAGUGGUGAGGGCUGAGAGUUAUUAUGCAUGUUUUCACUAGGGUGUUGUGGUAGUACUUCAUACAAAUAUGGGUAGGUGUGGAACGUAGUAUGGGCCCGUACUACUAAAAGCACAGGACCCAUACGCGUAUCAGGGAAACCAUGACCUCUAGGGUUGGGUUGAGAGAGUUGGAUCCCAGGAUAAUGGGAAGAGUCUGAGAUUUUGUGUGGUGUUUUUCAGUAUGGAGAUUCCGAGGCAUGAUGAGAGUGGAUCCGGAUCAGGAUCUGGAACAGGAGAGAGAGUUCCGGGCGGGUCAGUACCGCCCAAGGUUAUCAAUCAAAUGAGCACGUGUGAGUUGGAUGCGAGGAUUCGUGAGAUCCUGCAUGACGAGAUUGCUGAGUUGUUCCGGGCUGAGUUGCCGGAGCUGUUUGGGUCGAUCAAGACCGCCAUGGUUGAGUAUUUUGAUGAGCGNNNNNNNNNNNNNNNNNNNNNNNNNNNNNNNNNNNNNNNNNNNNNNNNNNNNNNNNNNNNNNNNNNNNNNNNNNNNNNNNNNNNNNNNNNNNNNNNNNNNNNNNNNNNNNNNNNNNNNNNNNNNNNNNNNNNNNNNNNNNNNNNNNNNNNNNNNNNNNNNNNNNNNNNNNUGUUUCUUCACGUGUUCAUGCCCUGCUGAUCAGAGGGUGAGGUGUGCUCUGAACCUGUUGAGGCUCGGGGCGAAGGAUUGGUGGAGAUUGACCACAGGGUCAUAUUUGGAUGUGCAGAGGGCUGCGGUUUCGUGGGAUCAGUUUAGGGAGAUGUUCAGUACUCGUUAUGCUCCGUAAGUUGAGAGGGAGAGAUUGGCUCAGGAGUUCCUUGAGCUGAAGCAGGGUUCGGAGUCGGUGACUGAGAUCACCAGGAUGUUCACUGAGAGGGCAAUGUUUUGCCCAGAGUUCGCUUCGGAGCAGGCUCAGAUGUCUCGAUAUCUGAGCAUGCUCAAGAGGGAUAUUAGACAAUUUGUGUCUACGCAGAGGUGCGAGACCUUGUUGGAGUUGCAGGAGGCCGCUAGGUGGCGUGAGUUAGAGGUUGAGUUGCAGUUGCGUGAGCUGAGGCAGGCUCCGGUGCAGUCGCAGCCGGCGCCGAAACGGUCCAAGACCGUUGAUGUUAGAGUGGGGGAUCUGAGCAGCCACACUUGUGGGAAGUGUGGGAGGGGUCACACCAGAGUUUGUAGGUCCGGUGGUGCAUGCCGUAAGUGCGGAAAGGAGGGGCACUAUGUGAGGGAUUGUCGGCAGUCAGCGCCGGUUCGGGAUUUGAGGAUUUGUUAUCAUUGUCAUCAGGUUGGACAUUUGAGAAUCAACUGUCCACAGCUUGCCGCGGGACAGGUGCAGGCUCCAGCACCGGCCACUUUGAGGAUUACAGGUGGAGGUCAGGGGGGAGCGGAGCCCCAAGGGCUCAGGGUCGUGCUUAUCAGCUUGCGGCAGAGGAGGUCAGAGCAGUGCCGGAUGCAGCUGCGGGUAUGUUUCUUUCUUGAUAUCUUGUUAUCUUGUGAUUAUUUGUGGUGUAUUGUUUAUGUGCUGGUAUCUUUGUGUGGUUUUCGAUGCUGUAUUCGUCGUUUUGAGGGUUGUGGUUUGGUUAUGGGUUAUUGUAUUGGGAAUUUCGUUGGUUAUCAGUCAUGAGGGUUAUUAGUGGAAACCUGACAUUGGUUUGAAGGCAGGGUAGCAUCUGCUUUCUGAGGAGUGGUUAGAUGUAGAUUGAAUUUCUUUCGAGCGGGUUAAUCAGUGUUGAUGUGGGAUCUUGUUAAGGUUGUUUAUGCUUGUGGGAAUCAGUCCGCGUGUAAGUGUUGGUUUUGUGCAGAGUUGUUCUGGGUGGUCGGUGUUGGCGACCGGUGGUUGUUAAUCAGUGCUACAAGUGGGGGAGAAUUGGAAAAUUCUCUGGGAGAUCGAUGAGUAUUUGAGGGUGCUUAGCUGUUGGGAUUCAGCAAUGGUUCUGUCAGUCAAGAGUAUAGGCUGGUACGAGUAAGCGGCAGGCAUGCAGGGCGGGAUACAGACCUAGGGCAUUCGAUUGUCGAGUGCCUGGGAGCAGGCCAGGAUGUAGCAUGUGCGAUUGAGACAGAGUUCGGAACCCUUAAAGGGUUAGAACAGUAUGCAUGGGAGGAUUUCCGGGAGAGAUAGCUCGGAAUGAUGAAUGUUAGUUGAGCGGUCCGGAUAGACUGAAGGCCGGUAGGCGUACCAGUCAGGCCGAAGGCUCGGAGAACGGUCCAGCCAAACUGAAGGCACUGAGAGCGGUCCAGAUUGGCUGAAGGUUCUGAGAGUGGUCCAGAUUGGCUGAAGGCCUGGUGAGGCGGUCCAGUCAUGCUGAAGACUCUGCAGGUAUUGCUAGUCCGGUUGAGGAGAUGGAUUGAGUAUGUUGCGAUGUGUUAGCAUCAGGAGGUCUGGCCCCGGGUAUUGAUCUUGAUUAGUGGAGAUGGUGCAUGGACUCGAGAGUCCUUGCGAGCAGAUUCAGAGCAUGUGUGUUGCAUGGAUAGCGGUUAUGCUAUAAAGGGGUGGUGCAGCGUUGGGUGAGCACCGUGGCACUUGUUGUGGUGACAAGGCAGCCAAGUGGAUUUCCUUGGUAAGGAAUGAGAGAGGAGUGUAACUCCGAGAGGGAGUGCAAGUUCACGGAAGUGAAAGCGGCAGAGCAGAGUUAUGAUUAGAGUGAUCUGAGUAUGGUUAUUGAGCAGCGUGUUUGCGGCAGUGGAAUGGAAGCACAUCCGGUUUGGGAUGUCUGCUGAGGUCGCGGAGGGAAUUCCGCAGGUGUAGAGCCAAGAGGCUCGGAAGGGAUGCAGGGAGAGAGUCUUGGGCUCUCAGUGUGAUUCUGAUCAGGGAAUUGGGUAUGUAUUAGUGGUUCAUCCUGGGGGAUGUUUGAGGAUAUCAUCAGUGUAUCGGGUUUUCCCAACCUGAGGGUGCUAGAGCUAGUUCAGCAUGUGUAUGUGAUUGCAAGAGGAGAACUCGUGGGAGUUGCUCUGAGAUUGAAGAAUGGGUCUUUCCGUCAGCAUGGAAUGGAUAGAGUGGGAUUCGGAUCGGGGAUCCGAUGGUUCAUGGUUUUCUAGCUCAUAUGGGUCGAGUGAUGGUUGUGAUUUGGUGCAGUGAUGCAUCUUGGGUAAUUCUCGAUUGUUGAGUGUGAUUAUCAGAGGGUACAGCCGGUGCCCGGUUUGAGACGGUGGUCAGGACACCGCAAGGAAAGAGGAAAUGAGUUCGAGUUUCGAUGGUUAUGCCUUGAGGAACCUGGUCCGGUUAGGGCCAGGUGGCGCGUCGUGGGAGUAUUUUGGAGUUGAGUUGCCGUAGGCUUCGAGGACGAAGCCUAAUUUAAGUGGGGGAGAAUUGUAACAUCCCGAAAUAUCAAGAGUAGAGUUGAAGGGCUAAAAGAGUAAAUUGGGAAAGAGCGACUCGGCGAGUCCAUGGGUGGACUCGGCGAGUAGAGUCGCGACUUGGUCGCGUGUUAAGUAGCCGACUCGGCGAGUCAGUAAGAUGGACUCGGCGAGUAGGCGCUGAGUGGAGAAAACCCUAAUUCUCGGGGUUGAGCCCUAUAUAAAGAACAUAACAUCCAUUCCCCCAGCCUCUUUACUCAUCCUCAAGUCCAGAAACCCUAACCUUCGUAUGUGAGUGGAUCAAGUUGCAUUUGGGAGCUUGGAGAAGCAAUUGUUGAGGAAAUCUUGAAGGGUAGGAGGCUUGGAGCAAGGGGCUUUGCUUGGAUUCGAGUUCCAUUGCAGUUGGGGCGUUCUUUUGAGGUAAUAUCUCGUCCUUGGGCUGUUACUCUUAUGGAUUCAUCAUUUUGGGGUUUGUGGGGAGCUUAUCUUGGUAUGUUUUGGAGUUUGGAAGUUAGAUCUGAGGUUGCUACCUCAGAUCUGGAGUGGUGAUGGUCCUAAUGUGCAUAAAGUCCCUGUGUUGAGUGUUGGGUGAAGCUAUCAUGUCCCAAACCUUAGCCCUAAUGUGCAAAAUGCAUAGAUCUCUUUGGAUUCACGUAAAGUUUGCCACUUUACGUGAUGGAUGGGUUGUAGGAGGCUAGAUCUAUGUUUUGGAUCAAUUGCAUGGCCUGGAGUGCUUCUGUAUGGAUUCAGACCGGUGGUACUCGGCGAGUCACAUGGGUGGACUCGACAAGUUGCUUGAAGAUGAGCUGGAACUCGACGAGUUGGAAGAACAACUCGGCAAGUUGGGUGAAGAUGGCCUGGAAAUCGGCGAGUUGUAUGAACAACUCGGCGAGUAGGUUGAAGAUAGCCUUAGACUCGGCGAGUCUGUUCUUGGACUCGGCGAGUUUUGGCGAAGAGUCCCAAUAUUUUCUGUUCGAGUCGAGAAUUGGUUAGUCAAUGGAUGACCCGGUGAGUUGUGUGCGAGUGGACUCAGAGUUGUUGGACUCAGCGAGUCUCGGGGUGACUCGGCGAGUUAGGUCGCGGAUUGAGGGAAGUCCUGAGUAUGGGGACUCGGCGAGUCAUCGGGUUGACUCGGCGAGUAGAGUCAGUCAGGGGUUGACUUUGACCUUGUCUUUGACCAAGGGUUGACCAGUGGUUUCCAGGGGCAUUUUGGUAUUUGUUGAUUAUUGUUUUGAGUUCAGUGCUUUGGUGGUUGUCCAGUGGUGGAGAUCGUAUCAGUGAUCGGAGCAGCUUGGGUUAUCUGUUCAGUCGGCAGUUUCGAGGUGAGUUAUCCUCACUAUAUCAACAGGGUCUAAGGCACCAAGGCCGGCCCUUAUCGGAUUGAGAUCCGGGUAGUUGUUGUUAUGUUGUUGCUAUGUUAUGUUUGCAUCCUGAGAGCUAGGAUGGUAUAUAGAGACCAGUUUGAGAUCGGUAUCCUGAGAGAUAGGGUGAUGCUAUGCUAGUGACCUGUUAGGUCGGUAUCCUGGUUAGGAUGAUGAUAUGCUAUGUGAUCUGUUUGAUCUGCUUGUUGACUGUGAAUUGCUAUAUGAUUGUAUGUAUAUGUGCACAUGGUUGUUUGGACUGGAGUUGGGUUGAGGCGGGUCCUGCUGUGUGCUGUAGGCCAAGAUACCCAGGGCGGACCGGUUGUCCCGAAGGCCCAGCGAGCGGUCCGGAUAGGCUGUAGGCCCCGAAAGGGCGGACCAGACGUGCCGAAGGCUCGGAGAGUGGACCAGAUAGACUGAAGGCCCGGUGCGGGCGGACCAGUCAUACUGUAGACUCAGAGAGUGGACCAGGUGGAUUGAAGGCCCGGGAGCGGGCGGACCAAUCACACUGCAGACUCGAUGUAUGUGGCUAGACUCAGAGGGUGGACCAGGUGGACUGUAGGCCGGUGCGGCGGACCAGUCACACAGUAGACCCGAAGUGCAUGGCUGUUCUGUGAUCAGAUAUGCUGUGGCAUGUUAUGCGUGUAUGGUAUAAGUGGUUGGUAUUUUGGGGAUAUCUCACUAAGCUUUCGGGCUUAUAGUUGUGGUUUUAUGUUUUUCAGGUUCUUCAGGAGACCGUGGCAAGGCGAAGGCAUGAUCGUACCGCUCCUCAUGAUUUUGUGGUAAUGUGAUUCUGGGUAUACGCUAAAUGUUUUGUAUUGAAAACCUUUUUGUAAUGAUUUAAUGGAAUCAAGUUGUUUUUAAAAAAAAUGUAAAAUUGGUUGUAUUUUUCGGUCGUUACAAGAAUCAGCUAUUCCUCGUUAAUUUAUUCCUAAGGAUCAUCCUAAGGAAUCGGCACGAAGUCCAUCGUUGUCGUGGUUUACACAACGGGCACUAAGUCUACAUAGUCGCUAGGGCUUAGGCACUAAGUCUGCAUAGUCGCCAGGGUUUAGGCAUCAAGUCUGCAUGAUCACCAACAUUUAGGUAUCAAGUCUGCAUGAUCACCAUGGUUUAGGCAUCAAGUCUACAUGAUCACCAGGGUUUAGGCAUCAAGUCUGCAUGAUCACCUAGGUUUAGAGUACACCAGGUGAACACAUCAUUCCCAACACCUAUAGGUUGCGAGCCUAGUAGUGUUCCACUGGACUGUCUAGAAUAGUCCGUGGUUGUCAUCCAUACUCUAUUGAAUGACGGCGCAAUUGUUUGGGAAAAGGAUUCUUACAUCGUCCACCUCUCACUCUCACCUCGUGGUCUAUAACACCUCUCANUUUUCUCUCUCAUCAUUCAUCUACCCAUGUUAUCCCCCAACAUAUUUGUAUAUAUAAAAUACAUAUACAGUUUAAAUCAUUUAAAACAUAUAUAAAAACGUUCAUCCAACAUAGACAGCAAGUAUUCAGAUAAUAUGCACACAUAGCACGUAAUUUAUAUAAAAUACUUCAUAUCUAUGUGUAAGAUGAAAGUAACUAUGCGCUCACGUGAUUAGAGAUGGCAAAAAAAACCCAUACCCAAUGGGUACCCGAAACCCUAACCCGAGUUGACCGGGUAAAUCCCCGAGUUGACCGGGGAUGGGGCCGGGGAUGGGUAUUACCCGAAUAUAAAAAGCAGGGAUGGGGAUGGGGAUGGUUUUACCUGUCGGGUACNNNNNNNNNNNNNNNNNNNNNNNNNNNNNNNNNNNNNNNNNNNNNNNNNNNNNNNNNNNNNNNNNNNNNNNNNNNNNNNNNNNNNNNNNNNNNNNNNNNNNNNNNNNNNNNNNNNNNNNNNNNNNUAUAUAUAUAUAUAUACAGAGAGAGAGAGAGAGAGAGAGAGAGUAUUAUUUAUGUUUUUAUUUUUAAUAAUGCAUAAGCAAAUGUUCAUUAGACAAGGUAAGGUUUUCUAACAAUCAAACGUAUGGUUUUGGGAAGGCUUUUUAUGUCUUUUAUUGUAAAGAAUGAUUUAAUUUGUAACACUGAAUGUUAUUGUUUGUGUUUGAAUACAUUCAGUGAUUAUAGUGUUUUAUAUUAGUGCUGUUAGUUUUUGUUUUGUUGGUUAAUAUAUAAUUAUGAGUUAUUUUUCAUAAAAGUUCAAAACUUUAUAACGGGGAAAAAUCCCCGAUUACCCAUUGGGGAUCCCCGAUACCCAUUGGGGAUGGGGAUGGGGAUCGAUUUUUAAUCCCCGAUGGGUAUGGGGGCGGGUAUGGAGAUGGGGAUGGGGAUUCGGGUAUGGGGAUGGGGAACACGAAACCCGGUAUACCCGUACCCAUUUCCAUCCCUACANAAGGUGGUGACUCUGAAUUCAGACAGCGCUUCGUUACUCUUAAAACAAUUUCCCUCGACAAAACCUAGUAUCAUUACCACUAGGGUUUAGUUUAACGUUAACCGCGACUAAUUAAUAGUAUAGCUAUAAUUACUAUUAUAUAAGCGUUAAGAAACACUCUUAUAUAACUCAUAAUAAUAGCCCAAAUAAUUAUUUUAAGGUCCUAAUAACAUUACUAUAUUAAACAUAAAUUAUACUAAAGAUAGGUUAGGCGUAGCUCACUUAUAGCAGGUUUUUCUCAAAACUGGGCUCCGCUGGAGCAGCAUUUCCAAACUGAAACACUCUUCUUCUCGGAGCCGUCGGGCACUCCGGGGCUUCCGCCUCGUGCUAGGGAGUUACCCUAGGCUUUAGGGGGGUUUNGGUAUUAGAGAGACUAUGGAGAGAGGAAAGAAAGAGUAUGGUGUGAGAAAUGAAGGAGGGGUGCGUCUCUAUUUAUAGGCUGAAUUGGGGUCACUCACCUCGUGAGUUUUUAGUGUUCACCUCGUGAUCUUGCUUAGGCUCCAAGGCAAAACCUGGUGUUGACACGUGGCAUCGCACACAGAGUGUAAAACAGCCGAUUUUCAAAAAUUCAUAACAUUCGCAUACGAACUCCGUCUUCGAUGUUCUUUAUAUCCACGCAUAGGUAAAAAUAAGAUCUACAACACUCAUUUAGACUCCAUCGGCUAAUUCUCGACCGAUCUUAAAUUUAACAGUAGGAGGCGAUUAGAUUGCUAAUUGACCGCGGAGAUUUCGUAAAUCCUUCAUACGGAAUCCGUUUUCGUCUAUCUUUUUACCAUUGAGUUCCUAUUAAUGAGAUCUUCAACUCUCAUUAAAUUUGCAUAAGCCAAAAACCGCUAAAACUAAAAUUCGAGUUUCGGGCCGUGCACUGCUAUGCCAAAUCUUAGAAAAAAGCAUAACUUCCUCAUACGAAGUCAGAUUUGGGCUUUCUUUUAUUUUUGUAUGUUCUCGGUUUAAUGUAUACUACAACUUUUGUUUAAAUCACUAAGGCUAAAAGGUCCUCUAUCGUAAAUUCAUUAUUUACGUCUCCCGGUGUCGUGCCGGUUUUGCCGAAAAACUUCGACGUGCCAUAAUUUCUUCGUUAUAACUCGGAUUUCGCCGUUCUUUAUAUGUAUGGAACCCUUGAGACAUAUUCUACAACUUGGUUAAGGUUAUUUAUUCUAAAUAAUCUUUUUGUCGAAAAGUCAUUUUCGACCCCUAUUAUCUCUAAAUUGACUAGCCCGGAUCUACGGGCGUUACAUAUGUUAUCCUGUUGUUUGUGGUAUGCUAUGCAUUAUGUCUUUGUGAUUUAUGUUAUGCAGAGUUUAAAGACCGGACCGGAGGGUCCAAAGAUUCGUGAGGCCGGAAGGCUCACUACCAGACCGGACCGGAGAGUCCAAUGAGCUAGACUAGACCGAAGGGUCCAACGAGCUACGGGACCGGAGGGUCCCGCUGAGAGACAUUAACCGGAGGGUCUUACAGAGUAUGGCCUUGAGUGGCGAACUGUUGUACAUGGUACUUUGGGGAACUCACUAAGCCUUGUGCUUACCUUCUUAUGUGUUAUGUGUUUCAAGUUUCUCAGGAUCGCAAGACAGCACCGGCUUGAUUAUACACAUCAGAGAAACAGUUAUGAGGAUCUUGGAUUAUUAAUAGAGUUGGUUUUGUAAUUUGAAUAAACGAGAUUUUUAUACAACAUGUUAUCUAAAGUAUGCGAUUUUUAAAUGAAAAAUUUGUUUGAAAAUUUACGUUGUUACAAAAAUAGACACACACCUUAAAGUCAUAGCUUAACAUUCUAAGUUUAAGUCUAAAAAUUCGAUAAAAAUCAUAGUUCGAUUCAACUAAUGCUCCAAUAUCAAUUGUCACAUCCCCAAUUCAAUGACUAGAAAAGGCCGAUUUGUUUAUGCUUCUUGAAUCAGAGUAUCUUUUUUAAAGUAUUUACUUUGCGAAAUUUUUCCCAAAAAUAUGAUAAUCGUAUUAUCAAGACGACAUUUCCAAUAAAUGUAUUUUAUUCAUAACACUCUGGAUGUCAUCGUCAAUACAAUGAACAUAAGCAAAAAAGAAGACUUACAACAUCUCUGUAUAUUAAUUUUCUAUAUCUGAUUUGAAUCUCUCGGUAGAUAUCUAAAUCAUCAUAUAUAAUUACAUGUGAUACAAUAAACUAAGUGGGUCUGGUUGAGAAACUUGGUGAGUACACGUGGUUUCAAUCCACAAUAAUACAAUUUAUUUCUUUAUAUAAUUCACACCAAACAAUUAACUCGAUUAGCAAUUCAUAUUUCUCUCUCUCUCUCUCUCUCUCUCUCUCUCUGGGGCUCUAACAUAAGGGUUACAUGUUGGUUAGGUAAAUAAGGAAAAAUAGUGUACUCAAAUGAAUCCAAUAUCCAUACUCUUGGUUUGUCUGAUUUCAUUAACACCUACAUAUUGCAAGUCUGUUAGUGUUCCACUAGGCUAUCUAGAAUAGUCUGUUGUCAUCAUCAAUACUCUACUUGAUGACAGAUCUAUGUUCGGCAUGGUCUCUUUGCCCUAACUCUGGCAUGGUAUUUCACCACUAUUCUAUCUCUAGUAUGGUUUCUCACCAUUAUAUAUUUUCUCUAAUAGUCUCUAACUGUUAUCUCAUUUCUCUUUUCUCUUUCCACCCGUCAACCCCAAUACAUUAUGAGUAUGGUAAAAUACAUAUAUGAUAUUUUAGAAAAAUUAUUGUUUCAAGUAACACAUAUAUCACAAACUCAUAUACUAAGCUCAUAAAGCAUUUAGGAAAAUUAAAUACUUGAUCUCAAUGUCUAACUUGAUGUUAAACGUGCACUCACAUGGCUUAGGUGAAUGAGUGGAGAAUUUGGCAACGCUCCGUUAAACUCCUUGAGUUUUCUUCUGACGUGACCUAGUUACGAAUUUCGCUAAGUCUUAGCUUAAUAUUCUUGGCGACUAAUGAUAGUCUAGAUUCCUCACUAAUAUGAAUGUCUACAUCAAAAUGUAUCAAGUAAGGAACAACCAGGUACGAUCAUAUCGAAGGUAGGGUUCAUUUGGUAUACAGAGUAUACUGUCUGGAAACCUGACUUUAAACACCUCACUAGAUCUAGCCUAGACAUCAUCCCUAUAAGUAGAUCAAUCUGUAUAACGACUUGGAAUUACUAAUAAAUCUUACUUAUAGGUUCAUAAUAACGACUAUGACUAUAAUUAAAAGUUAAACUUGAAUAAAAUAAGUAUAACUUAACUUACAAAGCACAAUAAUGAAAACUGGAAAUUAAGUGGACAAAUGUCUGACUUAAUAGCUCCUAAUUACCAGCUAUCAUACACCAUAGAGCUUUGCUAGUGAAAAGUUUAAGGGAGAAAAGGCUUAAAAUUGAGAGAUAUUGAAAGGGACACAUAGGAAUGGUGUGAGAUUCAACUGAAACUUGACUACUAUUUAUAGGGGUAUUUCAUCUGUGCGCCACACAUAAAUAAGUUGCACGGCACGCAUAUGGUCAGGAGAGAGUGACAUGUCACUUUUUGAAUGGUGCCACUUGUCGCAUUCUGGGUGGAUUGCCAUUACACGCGGUGCACUUUGUUGUUGCGCGCGGGUGCGUGCAAAGAUUUUAUUAUCCCAAUAAAGUUCAUAUCUUCUUCAUACGAGCUUCAUUUUCGACGAUUUUUAUAUUCACACGUAGAUAUCGAUGAGAUCUACAACUUUCGUUUAGACUACUUUGGCUAAUAUUGACUUUAGUUUUUAAAGAUAUAUUUUUAACAAACUUAGUCUGUUAAGGUUCUUUAAAAAUCCAUAACUCUCUUAUAUGAUAUUCGUUCUCGACUGUCUUUAUAUCGAUGGAAUCAUGAGGACGAGAUCUACAACUCUCAUUAGAAUGUUUUUCCUAACAAUCAACUGAUCUCUACUUUAGUUUCUGAGUCGUAUACUGUUGCGCUGAAACCUGUGAAAAUCCUCAAUUCCGCUCACGAAGUCAAAUGUUGACGUUCUUUAUAUGCACGUUCUCAAUUCAACAAAUUCUACGAAUUUUGUUUAGAUUACCCAAGCUAAAAAGCAACAUAUCUCUGAUUCAUUAAAUAUGACAUGUGGUUCGAACAUGAAACUUCAUAAGGUCGUAACUUCUUCACUCGAAGUCAGAUUUGCACGUUCUUUAUAUGUACGAAAUCCUCGUUACAUAUACCAAAACUUUGCCUAAGAUUAUUUAUCCUAAAUAACCUUCUGGCAAAAAGUCAAUUUUAAUUCCUAUAGUUUUCAAAUUGACUAUCCCUAAUUUGUGGGUGUUAUGAGUUAAGACCUUCCAAAAAGAACUCAAAUCUCAAGCUUCGGUGGAACCGAGAAGCUCACAAAUCUUUCUCGAACUGAAUAACUUCACACGAAAAAAGUGAGUAUCCACAACCCCUUUUGUCGUUUAAAACAUUUCCAGGGGAGAACACACAUAAAAGCUAAUAUAAACAUAAAAUAUAUGACUAUUUAUGUUUAUAUUCAUAUUUCAUGGAAUUGACAACAACCUCAACAACUUGCACAAAAGAGGGUCAAACGACUUUAGCGUCUUGAAUGCAACCACGGAAAAAUACGAAAAACACAACCCACCUACAAACAUUUUCCCUAUACCAACACUUGGUUAAAGUUGAAGAAUUGUCCAAAAUGGCAUGUGAAUUGAGUUCUUCCUCUUUAAAGCAUUCAAGAUAUGCCGAUUGAUAAACAUAAUCACAAUAAUCCGACAGGCGGACACAGAAAAUCUCUCGGUUCCUUGGCUAAGGCAACCGCACUAUUGCUAUCACAGAAAAUCUCCAUAGGCUCCUUAAUAGCUAAUACAACUCCAAGGUCUCCGAUGAAGUUCUUCAGCCAUAUCGCCUCCUUUUCCGCUUCACUCGUUGCUAUGUACUCUGAUUCACAGGUAGAAUCAGCUACUGUCUCGCUACUAUGUUGAACCUUUUCAACACCUUAUCCAAGUAGGUGCUCUGACUAAGUCCAAUUAGUCUUUUACUCAUGUCUCUUAAUAUCCUUAUCCCUAUGAUAUAGGCAGCCUCUCCAAGGUCCUUCAUAGCAAAACACUUCCCAAACCAGGACUUCACCUCUUUAAAAGUUGGGAUGUCGUUUCCUAUGAGAAAUAUGUCAUCCACAUACAACACCAAGAAGCUAACUUGUUGAGAGAAAAACUUGGAGACACACUUUGAACAAACGUUAGAACAAGUAUAUUGCGGAAUAGUUAAUCUCAAGGAUCUAAAAGCUCCACGAUAAUAUGGUUCGAUAGUUAGAUAGUUAGUUCCAGAAAGUAAAGAAAUAUAAAUGACAGCAAUUGUUAUAUCAAGAAUACACUUAAGCUGAUUCGUAACAAGGAAUGCGUUCACUCCGAGUUAAUAAGGACGAUCACACUUAGUGAUUAAGUCUUAACGACUUGCUCCGGAGAGAGGUUAUAGUCUGAUAUGUUUUAGUAACAAUUUAGAGUAAGAAGAGUAGAAAGAUAGAGAAAUGAAGAAGAUAAAUUAGAAAUAUAUAUUCAGAAUAAUUCACAAGUCAUCAGUGAUCAAGAGAUAACAUUAGAGUUUUUUAAUACAAGAAAAUAAGUCUCUAUUUAUAGAGACUUUGAACUAUUCUAGACUACAACUCUAUAAGUAGCCAUGCAAGGCAUACUGGAUAAUAGAGUGUAUUACAUAAAAGACAAUAAGUAAUCUAGAUAAGUAGACUGCAGUAGCAAAACUCUGAUUGCGGUUGCUGAUGAAGAACUGACUUCGGGUGCUGGAUUGGUUGCGGGUGCNUUGCGGGUGGGGAGAUGGUUGCGGUAGCUAAGUUCAAGAGGGUAACUUUUAUGAUUAAACAAUUUCCCCCUAAGUGACCUCUUUAACUCCGGUUCAGCUAUCAAGUUUAAGGAACUUGAUCAAAAUCCACCAGAAUUUCCUGACAUUUUCCAGCCAUGUGAUUCUUCUCGAAAUUUCAAACUUGACUUCUGCAGUAGUAUGCUUCAAUUUUUCAACUGCGGUCCGGCAGAUGUCAAGUUGUUUCUUGGGCAAGCGGUGCAUGGCAUUCAUCGGAAUGAAGUAUUUGACGUUGUCAGUCUUCUGUUUGAAUAUGAUUCCAAGUUUAGGAAAGUUUGUUGCACCCAAUGAUCUUUCUUCCAAGCCUUUGGUAGGCAUUUGGCAUAGGUUCAGGUGGUGGGAGAUCAAACUUCUUGAUGAUGGUGGGGUAGAUAUCUGCAUCUAUCUUGGCAAAGUCACAGACUGUAUCCCUCAGAAAAGAGUUGGUUUUUUCAAGGGUUAUUUGCAUCUUAGGGUGCUUUUCUGCCUUGUUCUGGAACACUCUGGCAAUAAGAAAGAUUUCUUCUGGAUUCAUGCAAGGGAACUCUGCCUAGGUACGGAUGUAGUCAUGCUCCCUUCUGGUGAGAGUAUACUGGAUGAAAUCAGCUUUCAUGAACUUCCGCAUCUUGUAGUUCUUGACUCCGUAUGGUCUAUCGUUAGACCAUAUAUUCUCAAUGGAGGAGCCAUUAUUAGCAUAAAAACGGUUAAGUCUUUCAAACUCCAUUGGCAGUCGUUUGUGAGCAGGAAGGUGUCACAACUGGAAAUUUUGUGUCAUGUAAUCUAUACACCCAAGCUAAUGUGAAUCAAAAGCUUAAGAACAUGUGUAACACCUAUGAUUAUAACUUCAAAAACUUCAAGUAAAUACAUCAUACAAAUACUACAAAUAGUCAUCAAAUAAUUGGAGACCCUAGAAGUCCUUGUUUAAGUCCAUUUUGGACUAGGACUCCCUUAUUGGAUCCAAGUGGACCAAUAAGCUUCCAAUUAGACUAUCAUGGGCUUAGAACCCUAAUUGGGCUCUAAUCGGACCCACAUUUAUUUAUUUCAACAUUUUGGGUCAUAUUGGGCCUAGAAUGAAAUGAAUUAAAAGCCUUGAUACAUGAAUAACCUAAACUAGUCCAAUAAAAAUAUAAAAAUCCUACCACAUUCCUUUAGACUUAAAACAUACCUAAGAUUAACUCUAAUAGUGGGCUUAGGGGCAAAGGCCCAAUUUUUUUUCUUUCCCUCCCAAAAAUCUCGGCCCAAGGCCCAAAUCCAAGAAGAUAAGGAAGAGUUGACUUGUUGUGCCACAUCAUUAUUGUCCAUAGGAUUUCCAUGCAAGAUAUCCCAUUCUUCCAUNUCAAAUUGGACCCACAUUUAUUUAAUUCAACAUUUUAGGUCAUGUUGGACCUAGAAUGAAAUGAACUAAAAGCCUUGAUACAUGAAUAACCUAAACUAGUCCAAUAAAAAUAUGAAAAUCCUACCACAUUCUUUUAGGCUUAAAACAUACUCAAGAUUAACACUAAUAUUGGGCUAAGGGGCAAAGGCCCAAAUUUUUCCUUUUAUUUCCAAAUUCUCGGCCCAAAUGCACAAGCCCAAGAAGAUGGAAGAGUUGACUUGUUGUGCCACAUCAUUAUUGUCCAUAGGAUUUCCAUGCAAGAUAUCCCAUUCUUCCAUGAAAGUAUCACUUCAAAGAUCACCUCACUUCUUCCUCGCUCUCACUCUCGGCCACAAGCACACACACACACCACAAAAAUCUCUCAAACUCUCUCAAGAACACUCAAGAACACUCCUUCCUCCCCUCUCCAAAAAUCUCGAAAAUUAGGGGCUUUCAAGAGGAUCUUGCAAGUUAAUCAUCAUCUAAGGUAAGAUUAUGCUUGGAUCUAUGGUUUAGAUUCUUUUUGUUAUCAAAAUCCUUUCCUAAUCUAUGCAAAAAUCGUGAUCUUGCAUCCUAGAACCAUCUCAAACUCGAGAUCUACCAAGGAAAGGUGCUAAGGCCAAAAAUCAUCAAGUUUUCUUCCAUCUUUUCUUCCAAAAACCGAAACCACACCCAAGGUGAGCUUCAUACCCCCUAUUUUCUGUUUUUAUGAGUUUUGUGGGGGGGGGNNNNNNNNNNNNNNNNNNNNNNNNNNNNNNNNNNNNNNNNNNNNNNNNNNNNNNNNNNNNNNNNNNNNNNNNNNNNNNNNNNNNNNNNNNNNNNNNNNNNNNNNNNNNNNNNNNNNNNNNNNNNNNNNNNNNNNNNNNNNNNNNNNNNNNNNNNNNNNNNNNNNNNNNNNNNNNNNNNNNNNNNNNNNNNNNNNNNNNNNNNNNNNNNNNNNNNNNNNNNNNNNNNNNNNNNNNNNNNNUCAAACUCGAGAUCAUCAAGAAAAGGGUGCUAAGGCCAAAAAUCACCAAGUUUUCUUCCAUCUUUUCUUCAAGAACCGAAAUCACACCCUAAGGUGAGCUUCAUACCCCCUAUUUUCUGUUUUUUAUGAGUUUUGUGGGGGGGGAAUACAAGUGUUUCAAGAAAAAUGGUUAAGUGGUUCAAGAAACCCCUCAAAACCGAGAUAUAUCUUGUGUUAAAUGAUUUUAGCUUCAAAUAUAUUUCUAAAUACAAAGUGUUUCAAGAAAAAUGGUUAAGUGGUUUAGUAACAAUUUUCUUUGGGUUAAAAACACAAAUUUUGGGCCUAAAAUGUGAAAAAUACAAAAUUAAGGGCCCAAAUUGGCAUAUCACGAAUUCUGAUGGAUGAGGUGUGCCAAAACAGUUUCAAUAAAACAAUUUCUGGAAAUAUACUCAUUUAGGGGAUUAAAAACAUAAAUUCCAAGCUUAAUGGGCUAAAAAUGACAUUUUUGGCCCAAUGAGGCCCAUUAUGCGAGAUUUUCUGUUUUGGAGGGCCAAAACUGUGUUUUUCUGUAAAACAGUGGACUAUAAGUGUUCCAAAUCCUAUUCAAAGGUUUAAAAUGCUUUUUAAAUUUAAAAAGGACCAAAGUUGCAAAAAUUUUACAAUUUGGGCCAAAAUUGUCAAAGUUGCGAAAAAGAAGGGUUAUAACCGAGAAAACUGAAAUUUCAGGGACUUAAACUGUUUUCAUUGAAAAAUAUGCUGAAAAAUAUUAAUUUCAAUAAUUUUUGGUGUUAAAAUGUCAAGAAAAUUGAUUUAAGGACCAAACCGGAAAGUAUUUAAUUAAAGGGUUGAAAAAGUAAAUUUUACAAACAAUGAGGGGCUGAAAACAGAAAACUUUCAAGGCUAAUUCAAUACAUGCAAUUUGAUCAAACAAUGGCACCGCGACUAUCGACGAAAUACAAUACACUACAAUACCAAAAUCGUUGUGAAACGAAUUGGUUCGGUCUCGAACCAAUGAAAAUCCGAAACUACUAACACGACGACACUACGAUUCAUACAAAUAACGUUUGGGAAUUCAAUAUACAUGCGAGUGUGCACAGACGUCUACGCACCAUCUUUGGGCCCCAAAAGUGUAAAAUCUUGUUCGUUGAGCCUAGCUAGCCCAAUGACCUGAUCUUAAGGCCCGAAGACAUUUUUUUUUCUACGAAGUGUUGGGUUUCACCGACUUGGCACAACGUAGAGGGACUUUCAAUGGCUUGUAUACUACUGGUCCCCAAGGGUCCUUUGGUAUUAGCUAGUAAAGUCUACAUUUCAUGCGAGGCGGGUCGGGGACCCCUCGUACAUUUUUUUAUCCCCAACCGGCUAAUGGAGUCAUCGAGGUCUUCGUGUCCUCUUACUCUUCGGAUGUGGGACUACACAUAGUCAGGGCGAUUGGAUAACGUGAUUAAUACGGACGACGCCUCCGGGAUCGUUAGUAUAGCUAUAAACUGGUCGUUUGUGUAAUGCGUGUUUGUAGCAAAUAAUCAUGCUCAAAAAUAAUCCAACGUCGCCUGGGACUGACACUACACGCUAUGCAAUGGUUUCAAUGUAACUUCAUGGAAUUCAAGAAAUCAGGAAAACAUCGGGUUUUCCUAGGGUUUUCAAUACAUACGGUUUCGAAAUGCAUAAAAUUUUAAUGAACAAUUUUUACAAGUAUAGAAACAAACAAGCAUACCUAUGGAUCUUCACAAACAUUUUCAAAAGCUUUCCUUUUCAGAAAAUAUCGGAUUUUCUGGUGGUUUUUCAAACGACACGAAACAUUGUUUUUCUUCAAAUACUACUUAUGAACUCACCAACAUUUCAUAUGUUGACGUUUUUCAAAAUACUUGUAUUCUCAGGAAACCCUUGAAUCAAAGGAAAUCAUAUUCAGUGAUGGCUUGCAGUUCGUUUACGUACGAGUCGAACAAUUUAUUUUUGGGAAUGUAAUAUUUAAACAGUGUAUGUCAUGUAAACGCUACUGGUUGUACUAUAUUAAUGAAUGGUGACGAAUGUUGUUAUGUUUCAUAUAUAUUCAAUGUUAUGGUAUACAAUUGAGUCACGACAGCCCCCGGACGUUUCCGCCGUCUGGUUCGGGGGUGUGACAGAAGGCUGCAGUCAAAUGACUCAAAUACAGCAAAGUACUUGGCAUUUGGAGAAAUUGGAAUAUCCCAGUAUCCAUCAGCAGGGGGUUCAUCAUAUGUGAGGUGCGGGGAGUAGUCUUCAUCCAAAAGCCUGCGGUGCGGAUUGACCCAUGAGUUAAUCAAAGACUCGUCUAUCAUAGUGUCGAAUCCGCAUGCUCUCCAGAUAAUUCCAGCAAGCUUGGCCGCCUUCCAUUCAUGCUUUCUUUGGGCUGUGGCAGGGGAGUCUGUGGAGCUUGCGGAUGACAUGUUCUCCUCAAUAUUUUUGAAGUGAGUAGGAGUCUCAGGCUUUUUGAGAGUGUCUUUUGGAGUAGAAGAGCGGGGAGAUGGAGUAUGUUGUGAUUGUUGCGGUGAGGGCUACGGUGUUGGAAUUUUUUUAGUGGAGAGAGAGGGACUCUGACAGAUAGAUGUGUCAGAGUGGACUUAUUCUUCUUCUUCACUUCCCCCUCUUGAGGAAUGCAUCACCGGUGCUUCCUCAAGCCAUUUCUUAAGUCCAUCCACCUUGGCAUAGACUUCUUGAAAUUGAGAUCUGAUAGUGUCGGCUAAUUGGGAAUUGUUUGGAGUGGAGGAGUUGAAGAGCAGCUUGUGUAUGUCUUUGGUAAGCUGGAGGAUCUCAAGGCCAUUGAAAUUGGAGGUAAGGGAUUUCUGCAUUCGGUUGAUGGUUGCAUGAAGAACAGAGAUAGUGGACUCAUAAGCACUAUGAGUCUCAUCUAUCACUUUCUGAGAUUGUGCUGCUUGAUCCGUGAUGGUUGCUUGAAGUUCCUUUUUGAUUGCGGUCACCUCAUUAAUGAGGCGUUCCGCAGUAGCCAUGAAGUCCUUAUGGUCAGCCCUGUGGUUGUUGUUAAGGGACCAGAUCCCCAUCUCUAGUUUGAGAGAAAUGCGCUCAGCAGCCAUACGCUCCCUUGUCUGCAGUCGUUCAAUUCUCUUAAUCAAUGACUGUGUUCCUGGAGCGUCUUCUGAUUGAGGUUGAGUUCGAUUGCGGGCUCUUCGUCUUGUGAUGGGUUGACUAUAGGAGUGGGAGAUGGAAUAGGUGUUGGAGUAAGAGGAACUCUAGAGUUAACUGCGGCUGCGCCUGAAGCUUGAGCUUUCAACAUAGUUUCUGCCAUCUGAUCCAUCCAGUUUUGAACCUUUUGGAUUGUGGCUACGGUAUGGGCAUUGCUGAUGGCAUUUGCUCAAUACCUAGCUACGGACUGGAUCUCUUGUUCUUUUUGUUGCUGCUGCUUGAUCUAUUGCUCCUUGCGGGCUUGGAAGGCCCUCUUGAAUGCAACAUAUCUGCCUCGGUUACUGGAUUGUAGUGUAACCAGGAGUCAUUUGAGUUAUUGCCGUCAAAUCCUUCAAAUCGCACCGAAGUGUACUUCGGGUCCACGUAUCCUUGCACAUUUGUGCUCAUCAUGCCUAAACCACAUGUAAAAGAUGAAAGUAGAGUAGGAUUUCCUGGGCUUCCUCGGUCUCCUUAACCCGUGGUCAAGUCUGGCCUCGGCCCAGUUCUGGCAUGGGCGAAUGAAGUGCCCUGCGGGUGGGAAGGUGUUUGUAGUGUUUGGGUAAUAGAAGAAGGAUGGAGCACAACUCCUCUGGGGAAAAGACAUGCAAUCGGGAAGCCCUGGAGACCAUAGGGCGUGAACUAGUGUCAUCCUCUUGGGAGUUUAUUGGGGGGAAUCUCCACCUUCAGAUGAUGAUGAUGAUGAAACAAGUUCACAUGAUGAGCUUGAGUGGUAUUCGAUUGUGGUAUUGAAUGGAUGUGCGGCCAUCCCAAGGACUACCGGAGCCUUUUGAGAGGCUACAGUAUCUGUCCGGUCACGCAUAUGGCUAGAGGUUUCAGUUGUUUUUCUUUUCUUGAGGAUAGAUAUUGGUUGUCUAUCUUCCUCAGAAUCACUGUUCGAUACAGUUGUGGCUUUGCUUUUGCAUUUCUUGGAGGGUGCGGUUCGUUUUGGAACAUGCUUCUUAGGUGUGCUUUGUUUCUUCUUGGAUGCCAACGACUUUCUUCUUUGAGAAUGGUUGGAUAGUGUAGUGGCAGAGGGGACUGCGGUACCCUCAGGGAUAAUGGAUGCGGAAGGAAAAGGCGGGGUAGAAGGGUAUGGGGCCAUACCCUCCGUAGCCUCAAUGUGGUCUGAGACAUCAGCAGUCUCAAGACCAAGAAAAGUUAGAAUGUGGGUGGGAAGCCAGCGGAUCGGUCCAAAUAAAGUUUGAUCAGAAGAAGGUUCGUACCUUCUUCUGAUGGCUUGCAGUUCGUUUACGUACAAGUCGAACAGUGACAAAGAAGUUGAUGUCACUGCCCAUGUUAAUGCCAGCAUCCGCAUGCAAAUUUGAGAUGCAUAGUGACCAGAACCGAGCAAAUGUGAGCUCUGUUGGGUUCUCCCUUGGGUGUUCUUUGGGGAUAUAUUGAAGGAAAUCGUCCCAAAGAAUCUACCCAUAGUUGACAUCGUGGCCUGUGAAGCUGCUCCACACCAAUUCUAGCAGCAUCAAUCCCAUGUUGUCGAUGCCUCCGGUUCUGCCGGAUAGACAGCGGAUGACGAAGUUGCACACAAACUGCCAAACCGCAGGCAGUUGGUUCUUCUUAAACUCACCAAUCCCUCGGAUUGGUUUCUGAUACCCCAUCUGGUAGACUGCGGUUGUGAUGUCAGACCUUGACGGUGAGAAAAUCUUGAUAGAGGGAUGAAUCAGAAGAUUAAUGGUGGACAAGAACUUCUCUUUGGUCAAGAUGACCAAAGAAUCAUUGAUGAGGUUGAGAUGCACUUCCUGGGGAUUCUCCAAUGGACGAUAUGCAGAAAAAGCACAUUUGAAGAGUGUUGAAAUAGGUACGACGUUUGUAAUGAAGAGUGUUGAUCAUCAGCUUGGUUGGGGCAUUGUAUAAGGGGUGAUCUUCAAAGAUUGCUCUGAAAUUGCUUGAUGCUAUUGUUGGAGAGUUAGAACCAGUUGGAUUCAUAGAACCUGAAGCCUUGGAUUGCUUCUUAGAUGCACCUGAUUUCGCCAUUAAGAGAAGGAAAAUGGAGUUCUUGAGUGUUAUGGGGGUUUUGAAGGUUGAAAGAGAAAAAUCGAUAAUCAGAAAGCAUAAAGGAUUAUUGCAGAAGAAGAUGGGUUUAUAAAGGGGGGUGAAAAGGUUUUAACCCUAUGUAAAUAGGUAGAAGAGGGUAAAAUAUCGAUUGGGUUUUUUUUGGGCGGAAUCUAUGAUUUAAGGAUUUUGGGAGAUUCCCAAAAAGGGUUUUGCAUUUAUUGUAAGAUUAGAUGCAUGUCAAUACGUCAGGUAAACGUGGGGGUGAUGAGAGAGAAAGUUGUAAUGGAUGGGGCGUGGUAGGGAGAGGAAAGGACAAGUUUAGGACGAGUUUAUUGGAAAAUCAUUCUUUUUUGUCAUCAUCACUAAAAUAGGUAUGAUAUUGGGUUUAUACAGAAAGGGAAUGUGAGUUUCUAAAGGGAAUUUUUUAUUUUAUUUAGUGAAGGAUCAUUAAAUAGAACAAAAAGAUUCGAGAGUUGAUGAAACCGUUGGGAAAUUAUCAUGAUGGUCGAGGAUGGAAACGUCAUUGCGGUUGAGAAUCUUCAUAGCGGAUGAAAAAGUAUUGCGGUUGAGAGUCAUCAUCUCGGAUGAACAAAGGAAAGACUGUAGUGAGGAACUGUGAGGAAAACACUUCUACAAAAAAUUAGUAAUAACAAACCAUUAGGACCUAUGAGAGAUACGUAUGACAUAUGGUUUCGGUACCUAGAUUGCGGUACCAAACCAUCUAUCAUAUGUAAUUCUCAGUUAGAACCGCAACGGAGACCAAGAAUGGUCUGCGGUAGCUAAUAAUUCAAAAAGAAUAGCGGGUCUGGAUUCAUCAUUCCCAACAUUUGUAAGAAUGCAUUGAGUUUUGUAGAGUCAAGUGCUUUUGUAAAAACGUUAGCAAUCUCUUCAUGAGUAGGAACAAAGAUGAGUUCAAUAUUACCUUUCAGAAUAUGAUCUUUGAUGAAAUGAUACCGUAACUCAAUAUGUUUUGUCUUGGAGUGCUGAAUAGGAUUAUGAGAGAUCACUAUAGCACUUUCAGAGUCACAGUAAAUUGGUAUCCGCAACAUUCUGUACCCGUAGUCUUGCAAUUGUGUCUUCAUCCAAAGGACUUGGGAACAGCAGCUGGCUGCGGCCACAUACUCGACUUCUGCAGUAGAUAGAGAUACACAAGUUUGUUUUCUUGAGGACCAGCUAACAAGUAUUCCUCCUAAAAAUUGGCAUCCACCAGAUGUACUUUUUCGAUCGAGUUUGCAUCCAGCAUGAUCUGCAUCUGUGAAGGCUUGAAGGCUGAAGUCAUUGCCUGGGGGAUACCAUAGACCCAUAGAUUUGCUUCCUUUAAGAUACCAAAUAAUUUGUUUGGCUGUGGUCAUGUGUGACACUUUUGGAUCAGCCUGGUAUCUUGCACAGACACCUUUUGCGAAGACAAUGUCAGGUCUGCUUGCGGUGAGGUACGUCAGCAAACCAAUGAUACCUCUAUAAGUCUUGUGAUCCACAGAUUCACCGGAGGGAUCAGCAAAGAUCUUAUAACCGAAGGCCAUAGGGACCUUAGCAGAUGAAUAUUUGUCCAUUGAAUAUUUCUUCAGAAGUUCAGUAGUGUAUUUCUCUUGAUGAAUAAAUAUUCCUUGCUGAAUUUGUUUGACUUGGAGACCUAGAAAGAAGUUAAUCUCUCUAUUCAUGCUCAUUUUGAACUUGUUGGUCAUCAGCUUAGCAAAUUCAUCGACCAUGCCUUGAUCAGUCAAACCGAAGAUGAUGUCAUCCACAUAUAUUUGUACCAUCAUAAGAUGAUCACCAUUUGCUUUUCUGAAUAGUGUGGGAUUAAUCACUCCUCUCUUGUACCCGAAAGAGACGAGGAAUUCAGAGAGUGUCUCAUCCCAAGCUCUUGGGGAUUGCUUCAGACCGUAGACUGCUUUUUCAAGCUGGUAGCAGUGAUCUGGGAAUUCAACAUUUUUCAAAUCCUAUAGGUUGUUGAAGAGAUAAACCUCUUCUUUUAGUUCCCAAUUGAGAAAGGAACUUUUAACGUCCAUCUGGUGUACCUUGACGUUUUUGUGGGCUGCGUAUGCUAGGAAGAUCCGGAUGGAUUCCAUGCGUGCUACCGGAGCAUACGUUUCAUCAUAGUCAAUGCCUUCCAAUUGACUAUAGCCCUUGGCAACAAGCCUUAACUUGUUUCUAAUUACCGCACCAGAUUCAUCCAGUUUGUUUUUGAACAGCCAUCUAGUGCCAACAAUUGAGUGACCACGUGGCUUCGGAACGAGCUGCCAUACAUUGUUUCUUUGAAAUUCUUCAAGCUCUUCUUGCAUUGUGGCUAUCCAGUCUGGUUCAAGCAGUGCUUCUUGAUGGGUUUUAGCCAUAAGAAGUUUCCUAUGUGCGCAUGCAAAACCCUAAUGCUUGGAUCUAGGCUUUCUAAUAAACAUGCUAUGAAUCCAAGACUUCUAAUUACUAAUUAGGUUUAAACAACAACAUUGAAACAGAUCUAGAAUCAUACCUUUGAGUUCCUUGUUGAUCUUGAGGUCUUGGAGCUUCUAGAGUCACAAAUGUCACUCCUCUAAUGGCUUACAAACACCAAUAGCAAGAAGAAUGAUUUAGGAGAGAGGAGAGGGAGGAAUUUCGACAAGGGUUCUCUUACUUAAUCAGAAGUGUCGAAUUCCCUAUGCUAUAGGGUCUAUUUAUACUUGUAGACACCUUAAGGGUUACAACCUAAACCCUAAUUGGAUAAUCUUCUCUUAAGGCUAUCCAAAUCCAUUCCAUAGAUAAGCCUUUGGACGAUUUUGGCUAUCCUAAUACUCUUAGAAUUCGUCCAAAGCAUAUCCUAAUGGAUUUAUAGUCUAAAGCUUAACUAUCAAACAAUUGACAGUUUAUACCCCUUUAUUUAAUUAAUCUCUUUAAGUCACCAAAUUAAUUCUAAUUAAUUCUAUGACUUAUAUUAAUCAAAUAACAAAUAUAUUAUUCAUUAUAUUAUUCUCAUAAUAUAUUAAUAAUAUUUACUCUCUCUUAAUAAAUCAUCCUAUCAAGUUGCUAUGGUGAAGGCAACCCAAAAGGACCAUGCACAACCGGGUCAAACACUUGUCUAAUAUAGUUGUAGCCUUAGACACUAUUCCAACAGUCUCCCACUUGGAUAAGUCUAGUAACUAUAUUUACAAGUACAAUUCGGUUUGCAAUCGUAGCUCUCAAAGACGCUGUCAACUCUGAUCUAAUCAAUCUUGUCCUUUAGAUAAGGGAACGUACAGUCCUCUGUUAGAUAUCAUGCUGACAAUCCUAUGGAAUGGUUAGUCAAGCAUUUAGGUUUCUCGAUCUCUGAUUUAUUUGACAUAGAACUUAAUCGAACACAUCAAUUCAGUUCUGACCGGGCCCGGCACAUAAGUCAAAUCAAAUCAUCGAGCGGCCGAGAUAUCGCUUUUACCUUCUUAGAUAAAAGUUACAGAUAAACUUCGACUUAUAUGCAUUUACUUAUUCAUUAACCAACUAUACACAACAAUACGUUUUAUAACACCAAGUUACUG
rnacentral:lncRNA from 1 species